GCUGAAGGAACAGUUAGGAUUAUGGUGCAGUAUCUGUAGUGUGAGUUGCAACAGCAAGGUGGACAUGGAUUCUCACCUAAAUGGGAAGAGUCACUCGGAUCAGAUCAAGGACCAGUUAAGAUUAUGGUGUGGGGCAUGUAAUGUAACCUGCAAGAGUGAGCGCAACAUGGCCUUUCAUCUGAAUGGGAGGAAGCACUUAGAGAAGAAGGGGAAUACCUGAUUUGCUCUUCAGAUUAUUGAUACUUACAAAUGGUUUUAGUUAGAAGCAUACAGACCAGUGGGUGGUGCUCACAGAUGCCUCUAUUUUGUUGUAUGAAGUAAAAACAGUAUUUCCAUGUCCAGAAAUCAACCACUUGUUUAGUGCAUGCAUGGCUGGUUCAAAAUUAAACCUAAUUGUGAAUGACUAGGAGCAGGGAGGGAAAAAUUGAAGUGAAGAAUGUAAGAUUAUGGCUUCAUUUUUAUUUUUUCCUCUUCUGAAAAUUGUAAGAUUGUGUUAGGAGGAGCUGGAAUGGGUUCAAAUCAGGAAUUAAGACCCAGUUCCAAGACAUGGAAAGUGUCUUUAGAUUAUGUUAAGUUAUUUCCAUUUUUUUUUCUUUAUUUACGGUAAGAGGGAGCAUAAGGAACGAAAAUGAAUAUUUUUUUUUUUUCGAAUAAAAAUGAAUUUGAUAAUUUCAAUUAUUGUGUUUGGAUGUAUUUCGGAAUGUAAGAUUAAAAUAAUUAUUUGUUUUCAUUUUAGUGUUUGAUAAUAAUGAAAGUAUGAAUUAAAAAAUAAAUUGAUAAUAAUAUUCUUAUAUUUAAUUUAAAAUAUAUAUAUAUUUUUUAUUUUAGAAGAAUAUGGGUUAAAAGUUUUUUUUUUUUUUUAAAUAAUAAGCUUAAGAAAAAUAAUUUUUACUCAAUAAAUAAAAUUAAUCAUACAAAGUCAUAAAAACCAAACCAAAAUAUAAGGGUAAAAUAAUAAUUUUAAACUAUUCAUUUAAGUUAUCCAAAUGCAUUCCGACUCUUCAUUCUCUUAUACCAAAUACCGUCUUUAAGUAUUUGUCAAACUUAUUUUUUUGCAAAAUAUCAAUAUUUUACUAAUAUUUUUAUCGAUUAUUUGCCGAUAUUUAUCGCCACGUCACCAAUUCUUUGAGUUUGACUUUCAAAAUUUUGAAAUGAUCUUUGAAGUCCAGUUCAGCCCAAAUCACUACACCCAUGAACUCAUCUACAAAAGGGAACGGCUGGGCCACCACACUAAUAUGGCCCAUACAUGGGACCUCGUAAAAGAAUACCCAUCUUCAAAAAUAGGGACCAUAUUAAAUUAUUAAUGUAGCUAUAGGAAGCAUUUGAGGACAAGGGUUAUGAUUUUUCCCUUUUCUUUUUCUCCUUAAUUUUCACAUCACCCAACAACACCACUCUUAAUUCACACAAAUUUGAAGGUUUGGAAUGAGACUUCUUCAUAAUUAUAUUGUAAUUAUGUUAUAAUAACCAUGUCGUUUUUGGAUUUAUUUAUUCAGUCCAUCUAAAUCUUUUGUUUAUUCGCGUCAAAACAAUAUAUUUAUAAUCGAAUCCAUUUAUGACAUGUUCAUCUUUUAUAAAUUCAUUAAUUUUAUAUAUUUAAAAUUUAUAAAAGUUAAAUAUAUUUUUUCAAUUAUGAAUAUCAUAUUACUAAAAUAUUAAAUAACUAAUUAACUUGAAAUGUUUUAUAUUUCAUUAAUUAUUUUAUAAUUACAAAAUUAAGUGAAAUAAUAAAUAGGUUAAAAUAUAUAUUUUAUUUUAGUUAAAAAUUAUAAAUUGUUAUUGAGACACAUAACUACUAAAAUUCUACCCAUUUGACUAUCAAACAAACAACUUAAGUUUUUAGUCAUAAUUUAAGCUUAUGAUAAACUCUAUUUACAAAAAUUAGAAACCAAAAUCAAAUUCUUCCUAGACUCAAAAAUAUAAAGACAAUCUUUUAACUUUAGAAGAGAACUAUCAUCUAAGAUAAGGGUAACACAUCCCAUUGCCUGUACAACAAUUCUUGCUUCAAAAGCUAAUGUUAGGUACAUAUCCCUAUCAUUCAACCUUUCCCUUAGCUAAAACCCCUAUAAAGAAUUAUAAACAUGAUCAAUGGCUCCAAAAUUUAUCCACCAAGAGUUAGUGGAAUCUAAUACUAAACAUGAUUCAACUAAAAGAGAAUGAUGCAUACCUGACUGUCUCUUUAAGAACUAAGGGCAUUCCUUUUUCUAAUGGCCUUUUUUACCACAAAGGAAACAUUUGUCAUGACCCUUACUCUUCUUCUUCUUCUCUUGCCCUUGAACUUUCCCUUCUGUUUGGUGAAUUCUAUAAUGUUCUUAUUUUGGUUAGAAGAACCUAAAGAACACUUAACUGCCAUAUAAAUACCUCUCUGAUCCUUGAGAAUUCCCUCAAUCAUUUUGUGUUCUCUCAUCAGUUCGGUUAUAGUUUAAGAAAAAAAUUGUUUUUUUUAUGUGACUAAACUUGGAAUGAAUGUCCAAGUUGCAUACAUACUCGGGUUGAGAUCAAGUCAUAAUGUAGUUUAAGAAAAAUAUUUUUUAUUUUUUAUUUUUAUUUUUUAUCUGAUUGAACUUGGAAUGAAUUUCUAAGCUACUUACGUAUCCAGGAUGGGAUCAAGUUCUAACAUAGUCACAAUGCAGUUCAAGAAUUAUUUUUUUUUCUUUUUUUGUGCUCCAACUUUUGCCAAGACUAAAGAUCUUAAUUUUGCGAGCAUGUCCUAACUUUUGCCUAGGUCGCCUUUCCAAGUUUUCAAUUUAGCAAACUAGGUUUUUUUUUUUCUUUUUAGUUCUCUAACUUUUGCCAAGACUAAAGAUUUUAAUCUUGUAAGCAUGUCAUAACUUUUACAUAAGUCGAAUUUUUAGGUUUUCAUAGUGCUGGAUUUUUUUUUUGUUUUUUGUUUUUUUUUUGUGUCGUAGUCAAUUUAAGCUCAUAUGGGUUGGAAGCGAUGUGUAGUUUGUUGGGAUUGAGCCCUUAAAAGCAAGACAUGAUGUAAUAAAGUUAAACUUAACUAUCCCCUUACUAUCCUUUUGGUGUAUCAACAUUGAUUUAAACAUUCAACCCAUAUCUCUUACAUUGUAUAUGAUUUAGAAGCAUUAGGAGUUGUACAGAAGAUACAAGUUAUGUGUUCUUUGUAAGUAGGUGAGUUAUCCAUAGUCAUUUCAUGGAUUUGGGCAAUCUAGUAGAGACUAUAGUGCACCACCUCCUAAUUGAAGGGAUGACUUGUCUUGGCCGUUGGGAUGAGUUUCCUAUGGUGAGCGUACUAGUGUAUAUGAUGCACAUUGGAUAGGACCUAUGACAAAUCAUGAUGCAAGGCUAUCAAUUGUCAUGAUUCACCAAGUUACUAUACUACAUGGACUCUCAACCUUGAGAGGACAUUGAACCUGUGUCAAAAUCAAUAGAAAGUUUUGACCUAUGGGCGAGACCCUAAAGUAGUCAUAUAUCCUUAUGAAUUAGGUCAUUGUUGAUGGAGGCUAGUGAUAAUAGGCAUUCUCAAUAGAGGCACCAUGAUAUGUCAUGCGAUUGAGAUGGUGUGUCCCUUUGGGUGAUCCAAGGAACAUGUGAUCAUGAAAUUUGUGGCCACAGUAAUUCCUUUAGUGGAAUUUGACAUAUGCUCAAGGAUUUGAGAGAUAAUAUUGAUAGGUGAUAACACUAUCUUGUUAGAUUAUAGACACCAGUUUCAUGGGGAAUCUGCAUGUAGUGGAUAGUAGGUCAUGAAUGCGAGCUUUGUCUCGUUGUUAUUUACAUAAGGUACUGGAGUGUAGUUGAUUCUCUUUAGUAGAAUGUUAAAUCAACUUCAAAAUUGGAUUAUGAGGGAGCCAGUACUCCUAUGGGUCUCAAUGGUCCCCACUCUAAGCUUAUAUACCAUGAUGACAUAAUUUAUGAGGGUUGGAUUGGCUUUAGGUUCAUUCUUAUGCAUAAGGGCAUUUUGGUAAUUACUCAAGGUUGCAUAGGGGAUAAUAAAUAAGGUCUCUAGAUUGGACUAAUUGAUUAAUUAGAUGGCCUUAUGUGGUUAAUUAAUCAAUUAAGACAUGUUAGGGCUAGAUUAAGUGACUCAAGCCUUGAUGGGUUCAAGUCACUUAAGCCUAGUGGGUAACCGUAUAAAUACCCCCUUAUGGGUUAGGGUUUUCUAAUGACUUUUAGUUAGUCAUCUUCCACUUUUAGAAAAAUAGAGAGAGUCAAAGCUUCCUCCUUUCCACUGCCCACACUUUGGAAUGCCAAGAUCGUGGAUCGAGUCAUCGAACGAAAGAUCUUGGGUGUAUGAGACCUUCGAACUCUUUAGGCUUCUUCUUCGUUGGAUGGAUUUUGAUCUAGGAACAUCUAGAUCACAUGUAUGUGUUAUAAAAUUUGGUUAAUUCAACCUAAGGUAAUCAUCCUAGAGAAGGGGCGAAUAGGGUGAUGAUCUUUUUUUGAAAAUUUAAAUUAUGUGAAUGCAAGAGACAAUUAUAUGCAAAAUAUAUAGCAAAACCAUAUAAAAACAAUUGCAUAUAAAGUAAAAGGGUAAGGAAGAGAGAAAAUAAACACAAGAUUUUUAUAGCGAUUCAGUGCAACCCGACCUUCAUCCAUUCUCCUCUAGCUUCAAUCCCAAACUUGAGGUUCCACUAAUUUAAGGCUUCCAACCCAAGCCUUCAAGCAAUACAAUCGGAUUAUGGUUCCAAUCAAACCUCUUGAAAUUUUAGUUCUAAGCACAUUUUACAAUCUUCAAGAGAUACCUCACUCUUAAACAACUCCUUAAGUGAUACCCCACACUUGAGAAUCCCUAAGUGAUACCUCACACUUAGAUUUUUCAUCUCAAAGAUUUAUAAAUGAAGAUAGGAAAUUGUUAGCCCAAGGGCUCUCCUAAUCGGGUUUUGAUGAUAAAAAAUCAUGGUUAAAUGACUAAUUGGUUUAAUGGUUAAGAAUCUCAGGCAUAAACUUGAAAAUUCAUCAAAAGACCAAAUGGAUACAAGAUCGAGACGUUUGGAAGACUUGUGAUCAUAGGAAACUAAUGUAAGAUGAAUGCAUGAGUACACUUAGGAUUUUCAUACCGUUUCAUGCAAUUUAGAAAACUCGGUUUAUUCUUUAAAACUUCAAUUUCAUUAAAACUUGAGUUUUAACAAAUGUACCUUAGGCAAAAUGUUUUAAAAUUGGCAUAAUAAUUCACCUAAAAACCUUGCUUAAGUGUUAGAAAAGAAAGGAAUUGAAAAAUAUAGGUUUUCGGGGCCAAAAGGCUCAACCGAUCGAGGCUAUGACCAACCUGCUCAACCGGUUGGGGAAUCGGUCGACCGGUUGCCCCUGUCCGGUCGAGGUUCGAUAGAGGGAUGCACAAAAUUUUCUUUCUCUCCCAGUAGCCUUCUCUUCUCGGUCGAGGUCUGGUUGAGGACCGAUCAAGGUUCGAUCGAGGCAACGGUAACCUGUCAAGCAUUAAAUGUUCCAACGGCUAGUGAACCGGUCAACCCCUAGCUCGACCAGUUGAGGUUACCUUUUGCUGUUUUUGGCUCCCGAGCUUAGAAACCUAUAAAUUGAGAGCUCCACUUUAUUUAUUGACGAGAGAACACUUGCAAUCAAUUGUCUACCUACCUGUUCUUGAUCAAAAAACUCUCAUUUCUUUCUUUGUGCAUUAAAUCAUCACUUGCAUAUCCUUUAGUGCACUCUUAUGUGUCAUCCUAGCUUUGUCUUAUAUUUGAGCUAUCCUUAAGCUAGGUUGAGGGAUUCAUUCUUGUAAAAACUGAGUGUCAAAGCCUUCAAGAGGUUUAAAUCUUGAAGAGAUUGUGUAAGAGCCCAUUGGAGCCAGAAUCCAAGUGUAAGAAGAUUGGAAGCUUGGUUGAAGCUUCAAGUUAGUGGAACCCUCACUCGGUUAAAAGAUUGAGGAGAGUGGAUGUAGGGAAGGAAGUGUCGAACCACUAUAAAACCCAAGUUUGAAUUCUCUAACUCUAUCUCUUUAUUUUGCUUAUAUUGUGCUUGAACUCGUUGUGAUUGAAAAGAAUUUAAAAAACCCAAUUCAUCUCCCUCCCCCCUUUUAGGUGUUUUUCUUAAUUAAGCAUAGCAUUUAUUUUCUCAAUUGGUAUCAGAACUAGACCUCUUGUUUUUUUUUUUUUUUUAAAAAAAAAAAUUAAUCGUCUAAGAGGAUAUGACUAUUGCAUCAAGCUCAUCUCAAGCUAAAAUUUUUUCAAAACAUAGAGCUUCAUUCUUUACGGGAUCCGACUAUCCCUAUUGGAAAACUAGAAUGACUUGGUACUUACAAUCUACUGAUUUAGAUGUAUGAGACGUCAUUGAAGAUGGCCUAACUUUUCCCACUAAACUAGUUGAUGGAGUUUUGGUUCCAAAACCCAAGCAAGAAUGGAAUGAGCUUGAUAGAAAAAACUUUCAAUUAAAUGCUAAAGUCGUUUUUACUUUGCAAUGUGCUAUGGAUAGAAAUGAAUAUAAUAGAAUAUGUCAAUGCAAAUCGGCUAAAGAAAUUUAGAGGUUGCUUGAAAUAACUCAUGAAGGAACUAAUCAAGUGAAAGAGUCAAAAAUUAAUUUACUUGUUCAUAACUAUGAAUUGUUUUCAAUGAAAAAAAAUGAUACUAUUGUUGAGAUGAUUACUAGGUUCACCGACAUUGUCAAUGGUCUUGAAGCUUUGGGAAAAACCUACAAGGAAUCCGAGAAGGUGAUGAAGAUAUUGAGGUCUUUCCCAUCAAAGUGGCAUACCAAGGUCACUGCAAUUCAAGGAGCAAAAGACUUGACUAAGCUACCUAUGGAAGAGCUCAUAGGGUCAUUAAUGACAUAUGAGAUCAAUUUGACAAAGAAGCUACAAGAGGGUAAAGACAAAAAGAAGAAGAACAUAACCCUCAAAGCUAUAACCAAGGAAGAAGAAGAUGUUGAAGAAGAAAAACCAAGUGAUGAAGAUGAUGAUUUAGCCCUCAUCACAAGAAAGCUCAACAAAUACAUGAGAGGUGAAAGGUUUAGAGGAAGAAAGUUCACCUCUAGAAGAGAUCCUUCUAAAAAGGAAUCUUCAUCCCAUGGUGACAAGGAGAAAUGAGAAGAUAAAAGAGAUUUGAUAUGCUUCAAAUGCAAAAAACUGGGACACAUUAAAUAUGAUUGUCCACUCUACAAGAGUGAAGCCAAGAGAAGAAUGAAGAAGGCAAUGAUGGCCACUUGGAGCGAAAGUGAAGAAUCCUCCGAAGAAAAAAAGGAGAAGGAAGUAACAAACAUGUGCUUCAUGGCAAUAGAUGAUCUUGAUGAGGUAAACUCUAACUUUAGUGAUGAAGAUAUGUAUGAUGUUUUUGAAGAAUUAUAUGAGGAUUUUGAAAAACUUAGUUUGAAAAAUAAUUCUCUUAAAAAUAAAAUUCAAGAACUUGAAAAAGAACUUGAAGAAGUAAAAGAAAAAGUUUCAAUUGUUGAAAUAUCUAAAACUCAUCUUGAAAAAGAAAAUAAGAUUUUGAGAAGUGAAAAUGAGAUUUUGAAAAAGAAAAAUGAAUGGUUGACCUCCUCUCUUUCAAUUUUCUCUUGUGGAAAAAAAUAUUUUGAAAUGAUCUUAGUUAGCCAAAAAUGUAUUUUUGACAAACAAGGGUUAGGAUUCAAAUCUUCAAAAAAUCAAAAGUAUUUUAAAAACUACUUUGUAAAAGAAUCCGCAAGUGUAAGUCAUUCUACCACUUGCAACUUUUGUAGAAGAGGAGGAGACAUUAGUAGUACAUGUCUCUUAAGAAAUGGUUCUCAAAAGAAUUCAAAUGCUAAAGCUAAAAAGGUUUGGGUUGAGAAAUCCAAAGUCACUAACCCUCAAGGACCCAAAAAGAUAUUGGUACCUAAAUCAACUUAAAUUUUAUUUUGUAGGGUUCAAAGAAGGAUAAGUGGUUCUUGGAUAGUGGAUGCUCAAGACACAUGACCGGGGAUGAAUCCAAGUUUGUUUUCCUUACAAAGAGAAAGGGAGGAUAGGUUACCUUUGGAGACAAUGCAAAAGGAAGGAUCAUUGGUCAAGGCAACAUUGGUAAUGACACAUCCUCUCUUAUUGAAAGUGUUUUAUUAGUGGAUGGUUUAAAACAUAAUCUUUUGAACAUAAUUUAACUUUGUGACAAAGGUUUUAAAGUGAUUUUUGAAGCAUUUCAUUGCAUUAUCAAAGAUAUUCAAAAUGAUAAAACCAUCUUCAUGGGCCAUAGAUGUGAUAAUUUUUAUGCUAUAAAUAUUUCAAAUAUGAUGGCCAUGGUAAAUGUUUUUCAAGCAUGCAUGAUCAAAGUUGGUUGUAGCAUAGGAGGUUGGGACAUGCUAACAUGGACCUCAUUUCCCAACUCAACAAAGAAGCACUUGUUAGAGGCCUUCCCAAAAGAAAUUUUCAAAAAGACAAAGUUUGUGAAGCUUGUCAAAUGAGAAAGCAAAUCAAAAACUCUUUUAAAAACAAAAAUUUCAUUUCAAUAACUAGGCCUGCAUAUGGAUUUAUUUGGUCCCUCUAGGACACCAAACCUUGGAGGAAAAUCUUAUGCAUUUGUUAUUGUGGAUGACUUCUCUAGAUACACUUGGGUCUUAUUUUUAAGUCAAAAGAAUGAAGUCUUUUUUGAGUUUUCAAAGUUUUGCAACAAGGUUCAAAAUGAAAAAGGUUUUACAAUUUCUUGUAUAAGAAGUGAUCAUGGAGGAGAGUUUGAAAAUAUUGAUUUUGAAGACUAUUGCAAUGAGCAUGGUAUUAACCACAAAUUUUUGGCUCCUAGAACUCCUCAACAAAAUGGGGUAGUUGAAAGGAAAAAUAGAACUCUUCAAGAAAUGGCUAGAACCAUGCUAAAUGAAAACAAUUUACCAAAAUACUUUUGGGCCGAAGCAAUUAACACUUCUUGUUAUGUUUUAAAUAGAAUUUUAUUGAGGCCUAUUCUUAAAAAAACUCCCUAUAAGCUUCGGAAAAACAAGAAACCCAACAUUAGCUAUUUCAAAGUCUUUGGGUGCAAAUGCUUUAUAUUAAAAACCAAAGACAAUCUUGAAAAUUUUGAUGCAAAAUCGGAUGUUGGAAUUUUUCUUGGUUACUCAACUUUAAGUAAAGCCUUUAGAGUUUUUAACAAAAGAACCAUGGUUGUUGAGGAGUCCAUCCAUGUUAUUUUUUAUGAAUCUGACAAUUCUCUCCAAGAAAGAGAGAGCUUUGAUGAUGAUUUAGGCUUGGAGACCUCCAUGGGAAAAUUACAAAUUGAAGAUAGAAGGCAACAAGAAGAAGUUGUAGAGGAUCCCAAGAAAGAAGAAUCACCUUUGGCACUACCUCCUCCUCAACAAGUGCAAAGUGAAUCAAGCUAAAACCUUCCUAAAGAUUAGAAGUUUGUCAUCAACCACCCACAAAAUCAAAUUAUAGGUAAUCCAUCUAGUGGGGUAAGAACUAGAUCAUCUCUUAGAAACAUUUGCAAUAAUCUUGCUUUUAUCUCUCAAAUUGAACCUAAAAAUAUAAAUGAUACUCUAGUUGACGAAAAUUGGAUGAUUGCUAUGCAAGAAGAGUUAAAUCAAUUUGAAAGAAGUGAAGUAUGGGAAUUAGUGCCAAGACCUCAAAAUCAAAGUGUUAUUGGAACUAGAUGGGUCUUUAGAAAUAAAAUGGAUGAAAAUGGCAUAAUUAUAAGGAAUAAAGUAAGAUUGGUAGCCCAAGGUUUUAAUCAAGAAGAAGGGAUAGAUUAUGAAGAAACCUUUGCUCUCGUAGCUAGAUUGGAAGCCAUUAGGAUGCUACUUGCCUUUGCACGUUUUAAAGACUUUCUUUUAUAUCAAAUGGAUGUGAAAAGUGCUUUCUUAAAUGGCUUUAUAAAUGAAGAGGUAUAUGUUGAACAACCACCCGGUUUUCAAAGUUUUAACUUUCCUAAUCAUGUUUUUAAACUUAAAAAUGCACUUUAUGGUUUGAAACAAGCACUUAGAGCAUGGUAUGAAAGAUUGAGUAAAUUUCUUUUGAAAAAGGGUUUUAAAAUGGGAAAAAUUGACACAACUCUUUUCAUAAAAAUAAAGAAAAUGACAUGCUCUUAGUGCAAAUAUAUGUUGAUGAUAUCAUUUUUGGAGCUACUAAUGUCUCUCUUUGUGAAGAAUUUUCUAAAUGCAUGCAUAGUGAGUUCGAAAUGAGCAUGAUGAGAAAACUUAACUUCUUCCUUGGACUUCAAAUCAAGCAACUAAAGGAAGGAACCUUCAUCAAUCAAGCAAAGUAUAUAAGAGAUCUCCUCAAAAGGUUCAAUAUGGAGGAAGCGAAAACAAUGAAGACUCCAAUGAGUUCAUCCAUCAAGCUUGACAAGGAUGAGAAAGGUAAGUCCGUUAACUCAACUAUGUAUAAAGGCAUGAUAGGUUUUUUGCUAUAUUUGACCGCUAGUAGACCUGACAUCAUGUAUAGUGUAUGCUCGUGCGCUAGAUUUCAAUCUUGUCCUAAAGAAUCUCACUUAAGUGCCGUAAAAUGAAUUCUUAGAUAUUUAAAAGAGACAAUGGACAUAGGCCUAUGGUAUCCUAAGAGUGAUAACUUUGAAUUAAUUGGAUUCUUAGAUGCCAACUUUGCCAAUUGUAAAGUUGAAAGGAAAAGCACUAGUGGCACUUGUCAUUUCCUAGGACACUCACUUGUUUCAUGGCAUAGUAAUAAGCAAAAUUCGGUAGCCUUGUCAAAGGCGGAAGCAGAAUACAUAGCAGCUGGUUUAUGUUGUGCACAAAUCCUUUGGAUGAAACAAACACUUAGUGAUUUCAAUUUGAUUUUUGAGCAUGUUCCUAUUAAACGUGAUAACAUUAGUGCCAUAAAUAUUUCAAAAAAUUUGAUGCAACACUCUAGGACUAAGCAUAUAGAGAUUAGACACCAUUUUCUUAGAAAUCAUUUACAAAAAGGUGACAUUACACUUGAAUUUGUAAGCACAAAAGAUCAACUUGCCGAUAUUUUUACAAAACCUCUAAGUGAAGAGCAAUUUUUUUAUAUUAGAAGACAACUAGGGGUGAUUUCUUUAUAAUCAAAUGAUUACUUGAUGAAUUCUUGAUUGAAUAUACCUUAUGAUUGCGUGAAUUUCACAUCAUAUGCAUCAUAUAGAAAUAAUCUUAGGAAAAAGGUCAAAUUUUGACCAAAAAUCAAAAUUCCCUUGGCAUUGGAUAUCAAAAAUUGGGGAUUUCAACUGAAAAGGGCAAGGGAAGGAUCACGAGACAAGCAAAAGCCAAAAAAUUAGAGCGUUGACCAUUGACCAUUGACCAUUGACCAAGCGGUUCGUCGGGGCUGGGAAUUUAAAGAGACCCCCGCGCUUUAUUUUUUUCACUAUUCCCCUCAAUUCCUUGAAAACUCUUCACAUACCUGCUUCCAGAGACCACUUUGGGUUGAAUCUUGGACCAUUUGAAGGGCUUGGAGUUGUUUUUGGGACGUUUUUAAGACUAGGGUUUCAAUCUGAAACCUAAGGUUUCCAUUUUUAGGAGCAAUUCCUCUCAGACCACGUGCAUCAGCCAGGCUCAACUCCUUCUCCUUGCGCUUAGGGCUUCCGGUUGGAUUUCAUUCUCUCUUGUUUGGUUUCAUUCUCUCUUCAAACUUCUUUUUCUUCAUUUUCCGUUCUUUGGAUGGCGCCUAGGAGAGAGACAACUACCUCUAGGGCUCAGGGCAAGCGCCCUGCUGAGCCAUCUCAACCUGAGCAGAUGGAGGCUCACCGAAAGGCGAGGUAUGACACGACCCUCUGUGGACCCGCAUUUUUCACGUGCGUCCCCACUCGAUCGGCGAGACUCGCUUUUUAUUUGUGAAAAAUUGAUCUUUAAAAAAAAAAAAGUUGGAGUCGCCACCUAUUUUAUUUUUAUUUUGAAGGGAAAAUAAAACAAGAAAGAAAAACCCUAAAAAGUGACUCCAUGGUUUUGGAAAAAGCAUGUCUUUGAGAAACCCGAGUCUAAGUCCGGGGAUCAGGUUACUUAUUGGGAAGGUACCUCUAGGAGGUAGCACCCCUCUAAGCCCUAAAAAGGUCUCUACUGACUAAGUUAAGGGAAGCGUGGCAAUUAAAUGGUUGAUCAUGGAUACCUAAGUAGGCUAGGUGAUUCCAAAAACAUAACAUAUCAAACAAGAUCAAAUCACAAUUAAGGAGAGUUAAAAAUGCGUACCUGGACGGCUUCCCAAACGCUAUCAUAAAACAUAAGAGAUUAGUUUGGAGAUACAUCACACAACAUUUGUUUUACUCAAGCAAAUCAGGCAUAUAUCAAGACAUUCAAGAAUCACGUCAAAUAUGGAUAUGGUCAUCAAUGACAUACAAGUCCAUAGAAUUCUCGAAAAAAGGAUGAAAAUGAGCGUACCUGGAUAGCAAGCUAGAGCGCCUUUAUGGGAAACAAGGUUAACCCAAUAACAAAUUCAAGCAUAUCUCCAAGAAGAAUCAAAAUCAAUUGAAUACCAAAAAAUCAUCUUUAAAAUCAAUAUUAGUGAAGAUAUUAGGAAUGUAGGACCCCCCACCAAAGUCCAUAUUACUUUUGCACGAAUUGAUUCAAUGAAUUCCAUUAUUUGGAAUCGUGAAGCUUAUUCAUGCUUGUCAAAAAUCGAGAAAAUCAUAAAAUAGUUGAAGAUGAUGAAAAUGCAUGCCGGAAGGGAAAAUGGCAGCAAAUAGUAUGUUAAAAUUUGGAUUUUAUGCCUAGAGACUUCUCAGGAAUUUUAAAUAAAACUAGAAUUAUUUUUUACGGGAAAAGAUUUUGAAAUCCAGAUUUAAAAUGUGUAAGAUAACAAAAAGAAUAAGGAGAAACAUUAGGAGUAUGGUGUGUGGCAAGGUGACCACUAUAUGAGUGAGGUCUGGAGGUGCACUUGAGACUAAAUGGUUGAAACAGAUUGCAUAGGGAGCAUUCUGUACACCACUAGUUGUCUAGAAAGAAACUGAAUGUGUUCGUUUCCGAGCCCAUGUUCACCGGAGUUUAGGGUGCCACCUCAUUUAAAAAAAAGGGCUUCAAUACAACUCUAGUUUCUCAAGAUCACAAUCUGAAUUAUCAACAGAAGCUUCUGGUGAAGACAUAAUGCUCAAUUUCAGAUUAAAUUUCCUGUUCUAUAACUCGUUUUCUCUGAAUUUUCCUUUAAUGUCUGUGCUUUCUGAUCAUAUAAGUUGCCCGUCUGGUUCCUUGUUUGAGACUCUGCCGAACCUGGAAUAAUGCUUCUAGGUCUAGCUGAGGGGACCUACACCCCUUUUCAUGGAACCUGAGGCAUGCGUUAAUUCGAAACUCUAUUACUUUGCCUUCCAUUGCUUUAAGUCUUUUAGCCAUCUCAGCCACAAAUCUGGAGAUUCAUUUAUCUUUCUUUAAUAUUCAAGCCAAAUGUCAAUCCAGUCCGCUUAAACCCCGAUUUGAAUGAUUUUGAACCCUCUUUUUGCGCUCUUGAUGUUUUUCAUUUCAACUACAAUGACAAACCACCCUUCGAAAAAAGAAGAAAUCUGGACCAAAUCCUAAACUUUUAAUUCACAACUUCUUGAGCCUGACUCUGAGUCGACACAAUUGAAUCACCUUGGAUAAGAGUGCUUCUAAAAAUCCUCCAGAAUGUAGGCACAAGUGCAGCGUUCGUUAAUAAUGUCCAUGGCAUGUCACAAAGGAAAGCUUCUUUUUUUAUAAUCAUCAACGCAAAUUGACUCUUAAUGGACCCCAUUGCCAGCGUCACAUCAAAGACUGGACAGAUAGGGAGAUUCACAAUUUCGAUAGCUAUCUUUGCAUUAUUUGGGCAGGGCAACCAUGUUAUGGAUAUAUAGCUCGAAGGUGACUUGCGUUUUGUUCUGUAUCAUCAGUAGCAGCCUCAAACCCGCCAUAGGUUUGAGUGGUAUUAAAAGACUCAACAUGAUCAGCUGUAGGUGAUCGAGCAGCCAAUUCAUCAUUGAGCAAAUCAAUAAAAGCUUGGAUAUCGUUGCCGAGUGGCCUAAAAUCAUUAGAUAAAUCAUUAAAGUCAUUAAGUAUAUUACUGAUCUCCAUGAAAACCCUCCUCCUUGCUUCUGUAGAGCGAACACAAGCUGCCACUAAAAUUGGUUAGCCCGGAUUGCUAAUUUAUGCAUCCAAUCACCAUCGAUUUCUCUUGUCCUUUUUGGAACUUCUGGAAUAUGGAUGAAACCUGUGAAGAAUGUGGUGGAAUUGCGGUCUGCAAGCACGAAGUUUCCAGUUACUUGAAAUGCUUCGAAAUCAUGGUUCCAGUUUACAUCUACAGGCAUUGGCUCAAGUAAGUUCGUAUCAGCUUGGGUGGCUUUCGAUUCCAAAAGCUCUAACAACAACAUGAUUCUCAAAUAUCCGAACAGCAAUGUCCAAAAUUGAAUCAAGAAAAUUCUUUAGCAGCAGUAUGUGUUGUCCCUGCUGGAGCCAUCACAGGAGCAACUAAGCUAACUGCCAAAAAGGUUCUAGCCAGUGAGAUCCCAUUCUGACGUUUCGGUUUUGGUGACUGAUAGCUUUCUAAUUGUCCCUGCAAAUAAUGUAAACCAAUAGUUCCAUUGAAUGGAUUGUCAUCCAGAGCAAGGAUCCGAAUACUUGUAAGGCCAUCAACGAAAUCAGCGAGGGUGGUGUCGACUUCGUUGUAAUCGAAGAAGGCGAGUUGCAAUUCAGACAAUCUGCGAGAAGAAGGCAAUUUUCCAUUGAAGUGGUUCAUCUGAAACCCCAAAUUGCAGAGCAUUGAAAGCUGGUUGAAGUUUUGAGGGAGAGGUCCCUUUAAUCCCAAUCCCUUAACUUGAAUCUGUGUAACUCUGUCACCACUAUAAAAUACACGAGGCCACAAAUUUGACUCCACCCGUUGGCUCCUUUCCUUCAUUCAUUCGCUUUAACAAGUCACAUUUAAUUCCAAAGAAUAUUAUAUAAUCUUCAAGUAUGUUCAAAUCAGAGGGCUCUAGUCCGUUAACCUUUACACUCUCUAGCAGGUUCUGUUCUUGUCUCUUCCUAUUAUACAGAAGUUCAAGCAAGUUUCAUAAAGCCUGAAUUUCUACACGUAGCCACUACUGGGGUCAGGUUUAUCCAAGUGUGCUGCUCCAACAGAAUUAUCGAUGUGUCAGUUUCUCUAAAAAUCACCUUGUGAAUCAAUCCACAAUACCGAGGCAUCCCAUCAUCAGAACUUCCUAAGCUUUCAGCAAGUAGGCAAGCAUUUAUGCUUGAGUCAACUCUACCGAUGACAACAAACCCAUCCAAAUCAAACUUCAUAGCUGUUUCUUCUUUUCCAUUAAUAUCAACUGGUAUCCUUUCUAAAAGAAUGCUUUUCUUAUGACGACAUGACAGUAAAACCCUUUUGCGAGAAUGGCUCAGAGUUUUGAUCAUCAUCUGAUUCUAUUGUAUUACUGGAAUGAUUGCUUUGGUAAAUGGAAUUCAACAGAAUCCACACAUUCAUGACUCUAAAAUUCAGCUUACUAGCAACCAGAUGGAACACACAUUUUCUGGUUCAGGCAUUCGUUUCUGGUCAGAUUCAUGGUAUCUUAGCGGUGCAACAGACGAUGCAGCAACCUCUUCUAGAGUGCCUUUUAUGAGCCUCAAGAGCAAAGGCCAAUGAUAGAUGAAGCGGUCCCUCUGCACUACUUGGGCUUCUGAUUCAGAAGUUAUCAUGAAGCCAACGAACAAGCAGAGUGAACGCAUUUGCAGUCAACCUUAAAAUUUCUAAUAUUGUCAGCAGGCCUGAUGGUAAAAAAACGAAAGUAGGGGAGCCUUAUUCAAGAGGAUCAUUGCGAACACUGUCACGUGUUAUUGGUGAGCUUGUUGGCAUCUUGUUUUGGGCAGAAUAAUGAGAUCCUUCAGUUAAUUAGAGAUCCAUAUCAACUAAACACCAGAAUCAUGGAUUUCCCAUGCUUUCUACUGGACAACGAUUGUCAGUUCUUUCUCUUGUUCACUUCUACUGGCAGUGGCUUGACUCUCCAACAAAACCCCUGAUGCACCCUGUAGCUCCUCAUUUAAUUCUGGAUUCUUAUCAGCAUCGCUUUCUUCUCCCUUUUGAGACUCUUGGAGUAUGAAAAAGAAAACUUGUGAAGAAUAAGGUGGAAUAUCCCAGCAAUGCAGUAUGGUAGGACCCAUUUGAGGGGGAACCCUGCAUUCAUCACUCUCACCUCCAGUAGCAUUAGAUGCUUGCUGGACCCAAUUCAGCCAGUCUCUGCAUAUUGACUCUCAAUAUAAACGUUUAGAAAUAACAAUGACUUCAUUUCUACUGCCUUGUUUAGACCUUCCUUGAUCAAUGUCUACCUUCAUUUCUCACAAAUUCUGGUUCUACUAUUAAAGUUCUGCCCCCAGUCCGUUUUGCAAAGCAUAAGCUAAUUUUAUAUUUGUAUAAUUCCAUCUUAACACACAAGUCCGUCGUAGCCUUUCCUGAGAAGUUAGAGAAGUUGCUUUUCUGAUAUAAAAAAGCCUUUCAGAACCAUGCUGAAGCUCUGAAUGUUGAUAGUUUUCCAUUGCAACUGAUAUGAGCUCCUCAUCGGUAGUGUCACAAGAAUGAUUCCAUGAGAAGUUUCUUGUUGCAUCACCUUUUUUAUGUAUUCCAACCCCAACUGUUGAGUUUCUUGAAAUUGAAACUACGGAACUUAGUUAUUUUGAAUUGUUUGCAUCUGUAGUGAUAAAUCACUGGAAGAGACAAUCAUAAUUUAGGCACUUGAUUUCCGUUUCGGUCGAACUAACAGCUUCGUAACUGUUAAUCUCAAGGUCAGAUUCAUGCUCUUGUUUCUCAAUUUCCUCUUCCCAUGAGAAUUUUUUUCAUAACAAUCGAAUGAAUUCUUAUAACUCCCAAAAGUUUCUAGCUUUUGCUGAUCAUGGAGGUGCCUCACAAUACUUGUCAUUAUACUCACUUUGGAAUUUUUCUGGUCCAUGUUCACUUUGAAUGAAUGUAUCCCUAAAGGGGGUAUUCAAUGACUGCCCAUAAUGAGUUACAAGUUCCCCAAAAUAGAAUAUAAUGAUCGUCGGCCUUACAGUACUGCUGUUUUAAAAUUUUCUGCUCGCUGAACAGUCAUAGUUCAAACCAUCAAUAUCAAAAGGCUUUCCCAGGCACUCAUCUUCAGAACCAUAAGGCCAGCAAGUCUGCAACCGUUUGAGUUGGGUAAAAAAGAAAGUCCUAAGCAGUGGAAGUGCACAGCAUGAUGCUGUCAAGUUUCAAUAACUUAAAUAUUGGCCAACUUAAGCCAGACCAUAUUCCUCAAAAAUCCAUUCUUCCUCUGCUCAUGUAAACUUGUAAUGCUGUCAGAAAUCCUGUCUUCAGAAUAGCAACCCUGACAAUUGAGUAUGGAAAGCAGAAUACCCAUGUGCUUCCAACUAAGCUUUUUACAACCAUCCUCAUAAACUGAGGCGUGCCAUUCUAAAGAAAAGGCAGAGUCUUUUAGAAAUCACAAUACUUCUGAAGCAGCUUGAAUUAGCAUAUUGCAGUAAUUGGAAGUCGGAUUGACUGAAACAGGGGCUCGAACGCAUCCAUCUGUAAAUCUUACAGACCGACCACCCUCAGAGAAAAGGUCUCCAAAAAAAAGGCUUCAGCUUCAUGACAAACAGCAUUCUCUGUUUCAGAGUUGCAACUGCCCCUGUUAUACUACUCCUGUGCACUUCAGCAUUUAUUCUUUAGUUAUACCGUCCCUUUAGAUAGCAUCUAUCCCACACCGUGAAGCAAGCAAGGUUCACUAUAAUAGGAUCUAGUAGCAGCAACAAACGGGUGAUCCUGGAGAUAUUUUAAACUCAACUUCAUCAACAUCUUCAGCGUGCACUUCUGUUGGAACACAAGCGAUAGUAGCAGUGAAAAAAAAAGUGUUGUACUGAUCCCGUUAGGAUUGCAGCCCAGAAUACCACGAACAGAGAGCCCCAAAAAUUGAAGCAACUCUGCAUCCAACUAAAUCACAUCUAGAACCCGGUUUAACGACUUUCUUGUCUUGAAGAGGAAAUACCCAAUCUGACUCAACAAUCUGUUAUCAUGUGCCAAACCCCACAAACAGCCCACAUUCUACGCAGCCUUUAUAAAGUCUCUACCUUUCAUGAAAUACUCAUGCCAUCAUUGUCUCCAUAGCCCAGAACACCAAAGUAAAGAAGAGGAAGAAGCGUAGAUAUAGAAGCACAAAAAAAGAAACCGAACAAAGAAAGAAAAAAAAAAAAAAAAAACGAAAACAGGGGAAUGGAAGGCAAUGGGUGGGAAAUCUGAAUAAGUCACAUUUCAUUAUUUUCAAAAGGGCUUUGAAGAAUCUGAACACAUUAGGACAAGCUUAGUUAAAAUUAUAUCAGGAUUCCACAAACAUUAAAAUUCAAACAUAAGUCUCUGUUUCAGCUAUUUAUAAAAAGAAUCAAAGAAAUCAAGAACACAAUCAUAAUAGAGCAAGUUUGAAGGAAAUUUCGAUUCAACAACGCAAAUAAAUGGCCCUCAAUGUCCACUCCAAUCAGCAAGAACAACUUCCCGAAAACAGCCAGAGAAUCUCAAGUGAAUGUAAACGGGAAUACCAAAAUAAUAAAAAAAAUAACAGGAAGCGUACCUGGCAGAACCUUGGCUGCAAUCUCCCUCUCUUUCUGCUCUUCUCUCCGCACUUUUUCUUCAAGAUCUCUCUUUUUCUCCUUUUUCUCCUUUCUUUCUUUUCUUUCCUUCUUCCUUUUCUUUCCUUCUCCCUCUCAAGCCCAAAAAUCCUAUCUCUCCCUCCGGAUCUCUCCAAAAAAAAAUCCCCAUGCGUGCUGCCAGUCCCACUUUUCAAAAAGAAAACAUCUUGCUGAAAAGGAAAAUCCUACUUCCUUUUCUCCUUUCUUUCCUUUCUUUCUUUUCUUUCCUUCUUCCUUUUCUUUCCUUCUUGUAGCCGAUCCCCACAUGGAAGAAGUAUAUGUGCUGUCCCUCUAAAAAUCAAAAUCUCCUCUUUUCAAAAUUCCGUUGAUUUUCCUUCCAAAUAAAUGGCGGUUCGUUUCCUCAUGCCCAAAAAAUAAAUAAAAUAAAAAAAUAAAAAUAAAAAAAAUAAAAAAUAAAAAAUUAAAAAAAUUAAAAACAAAAAUAAAAAAAAAUCAAUCACAUGCAAGCCAUACGAGCUAUGUAACCACCAAAGGAAUAUGAGUUAUGCAACCAUGCAAAAACACGAGCCAUGCAACCAUGCAAACCAUGCAAAAACAUCUAAAGGUGACCUAGGGUGUGUCCUAGUGCGCUAGGGCAAACGAAAUGGACUAAGUGUGCUUAAAAGCUAUCCUAAAAAAAAGAAAAGCCUACGACUAAGUUAGGGCUGCCAAGGGUCACAAUAAGGGAUCAAAUAAUCCCUCAACCAAAAUCUCCGAGGUGACUCAGAAAAAGGUUAGUGGUAUGAGUAGCCAUGGGCCACCAAGGAACUAUGGGGCACUGAAAACGAAUUUAAAGACAUGUGCUAAAGGGACAAAAUUGAGGGUCUACACCCUCUUCAGUUCUGUUGAAGAUUAUCAAAGAUACAAGCAAAAAUUCUCCCAGAGGAAACUAGGGAGAAAUAUCAAUUUCUCCCAACUUUAGUACUUCGGGUUUGAGGGACUCUUUAGUCGGAUGGGAUAACUGCCAGUUGUGAUGAUUUUCGAGCCGAUCUUCCUGACUCUGGUGCGGGCAUUUUAUUCAUAGGUGACUUAUGGACUUGGAGGACCAGUCAUGUCCACUAUUAGAGGUGUUGAGAUCAGACUGAGCCCGGAGAGCAUUUUCCGCAUUCUCGACAUUCCUUUAGUUGGACUCCGGGUGUAUGAGUCCAAGGUUUGGCCCACUGUGCCGGGAUUCGAGCCUAGAGAGGCUAUUCAGAGGCUGUGCGGACUUGUAGAUGCUGAGGGGAUGGACAAACCAUCGGCACAUAGCCUGACCGUGACCAGCCAAGUCCUUCAUCACAUGAUUUGCUCCUAUUGCCACAAGGCGGGUAUCGAGAUGAGAUUUCCUACCUGGAUGCUUUCAUAGUGGACACCAUUCUAAUGGGGAGAUGGAUUCAUGUAGGGUAUUUGAUGAUGAUGCAUAUGAUAUCCUACUAUGAGAGCACGACCCGAGUACUCCCCUACAGACGCUUCCUCACUCGAGUAUUCAAGGAUGUCGGGGUCGAUUUGAGUAGAGAGACGAACUUCGAGGCCCUUACUAGCUAUGAUACUUACGAUGAGCAGUCCUUGGAGCGGAUAAAGUUUGAGAAGGCCCUCGAUGGCUCCUGGAUUAGGAGAGUUGAGCGAGCUCCAGCAUAGGCCCGGGGACAAGGAUAGAUGCAUCCCGGAGUAGAGGAGGAGGCUGAGAUCAAAGAGAUGGAGGAUGGGUUAGACCCAAGGAUUGAAAUAUCGAUAAAUAUGGAUAUAUCGGUACUUGGAUUUUACGGAUAUAUCGGAAAUAUCGGAGAAAUAUCAAUGGAUAUUUUUCAUCAAAUAUCGGUGAGACAAAAAUUAUCCAAAAUUGAUGGGAAUGCUUAGAAAAAUCCAAAGAAUGAUAAAAUAAGCAAGAAUAUACAUGUUAAAGUUAUUUUAUGAGUGUAAUUGACAUAAAUAUGGUAUAAAAAAAAUAUAUAUCGGUAAACAGUUUACGAUACUUGGAUUUUAAGAAAAGAAAAUAUGAAAUUUGGAAUUGUACACUUAAAAAGUUAGAAUUGAGUUAAGAAAUAUUUGAUUUUAUUAAAUGAAAAAAAUUUACACAUAAACAUAAUACAUAUGACAUUGCAAUGGUCCUUAAUACCAAAAUGAAGAUCGAUGUGGUUCCAUCAUAUUGUUAUUGUUAGAUGAAGGGAGCCCAUCUUGUUGAAGACAAUAUUCAUACCAGGACAUGGAGUUUCGAUAGUAUUGAUUGUAUGUACUAACAUGCCAUGCAUAAAUUUCUUGAGUCCUACCGACAACCUGUCCAUGGAUGGGAAAUCCAGGGUUUUCCCAUGUGCUCGUUUGAAAUCCUUGUUGUUGCAGCUGAUGUAGAAGGUAGUAUGGAAUUUGUGUGGAAGAAUGAUAGUUAUACCUUUCAUACUCUUCAUCAGUGGAACUUGAAAGAUUUUGAGGAGGCUGACCAUAACUCAUUGCAUAAGGGGCAUAAAUGUUGGCUUCAUUUGAUGAAUCACUUAAUUGAGUCUCUACACUCAUCGACUCAAAACUGGCCGACAAUGAGUCCUCGUUGUAUGGCAUCAUCCUUCGUUGUCUUCCUCUAUAUGGCUUUCCAAUGGCUCCAACACCUGGACCGGCUCUUCUAGAGCCGUGGUCUUCAUCUUGAGUACAAUGUGUGAAAUCAUCUUCACUAAUAAAUGCCAAUGGUUGUCCACUUUGUUGAUGUUGUCUAACAUCCCCUUCAUCAUUUUCAGGGUCGCUACCAUCAUUGGUCCCCUCUCCUCUUGAAUCAUCAUAACCGGAAGCGGAAGUACCAGUAGCACUAGGUCUACUACUAUGUUCAACACUCGUGGGGUCAAAAGAAGGUCGAGAAGUGACUACCAGCUGAGAAAUUCCUUGUCGAAAUGAAUCUUUCGUGUCUUGGUUGAAACUAUCAAUAUGAACUUCUUCGGAUAACACUUGAUCAACAUCAACACCUGCUUCUCGGACAUGUGCGGCAAUUCGUGGGUCGAGAUUUCCAUCUUCAUCAUCUAAAUGAAGAGGUCUAACCCAUUGAAACAAUUGGUUAUCUUCUUCUUCACCAGCCUCAGUUGCAAUAUCAAGUAAAUCAAGGUAAUCUUUCUCUGAAACUUUGUCAUGUUCUGCUUCCAUGUCACGUAUCUUUAGUUUCAUGUUAUAAUAAUAGAAAACUAAUUGUUAGAGCAUCGGGUAAGCAAGCUGAUUUCUUUGUUUUGUAUGAAUUAUGGAAAACAUGCUCCAAUUUCUCUCACAAGCUGAAGAUGAUGCAGUUUGCGAUAAAACCUUGAUGACCAACCUUCUUAAUGUAGGAGUGUGAUUUCCAUACAUGAACCACCAUUCAACUACAACCAAAUAAAUGAUAUCAAUACUUAUAUUGGAAAGCUAUAAUAAUAUGCUAAUGAAAUGAAUUAUUAAUUCACAAAUAAUACUCACCGAGAACCAUUUCUAACCUCGAAGCAAUCACUGUUUGAUCACCGAAUCCUCUUUUUGCAUCUCGGAAUAGUAUAAUCUACAUAUUAAAUAAUUGAAAGUGAAAAAGUUGAGUAAAUGAAAUUAAAUUAUUUAAUUUAUAUUAUAACUCUAAUAAUUUACCUCAUUUCCAAAUUGACUAAAACCUUCUGAUGUAGGAUCUAAUUUCGCAAAGACUUCAUGGACAACUUGAAGUAGAUCAGGAUCAGUACCAACUCCAUGUUUAUAUUGAAAUCUUGGAUUAAGAAAGAAUGCUACAAUAGUAAAAUAGAAAUGUAAAAUUAGAAUGUUAUGAAAGAAACAUAUUAAAUACCAAUAAAUUUCAAAGAUGAAUAAUACUUACCUGCUGCAUGAAAAGGAUGUUUAAAAGUUCUAUCCCAACGAUAUGCAAUUAUUUCUAACACCCAUUCUUUAGCAUUAAGUCGAAUAAGGUUCUCUUUCAUAACUCGAAUCAAUUCGUACACAAAUGGCAUUGUAGGAACAACUUCUGAAUCGACAAUGCGAAGAACUGUGUAUAGCGCCUCAUAUAUUGACACUAGCUUUCCCACUCUUUCCUAGUAUGCAUGGUCAAACAUAAGUGAUUCAACUUCUUUGCCGAUUAAUGUGCAACUUAAGUUGUGUUGUGCCCAUUCAUCACUGAUAAAUAUUUUCUUCAAGUUUAUUUUCUUUUUCAAAAGACUGUCGAAGGCUAUAUAAUUGGUUGCAAAUCUUGUUGCUCCAGGACGAACUAUGUCUCCACCACACACCUUCCGCAUCUGGGUAAGCAACCAACCAUGGUUAUAAAUGAAGUUGGUUAUCUUUCGAGCCUUUGUAAUCACAUCUGCAACACUCGUCCUUUUACCGAUAUCUUCGAACAUUAAGUCGAUGCAAUGUGCUGCACAUGGAGUCCAAUAAAGAUUGUAUUUCUUCAUUAACAACUUCCCCGCCUUCAUGAAUGCCGACCCAUUAUCUGUAACUAUUUGGACCACAUUUUGUUUGCCAAAUUCCUUGAUCACAUCCUUCAACAAACCAUAUAUGUAUUUGUUGUCCUUUAUAUUAUUUGAUACAUCAACAUAUUUGAGGAAGAUUGUGCUACCUUUUGAAUAUACCAUGAAAUUAAUUAUGCUUAAUUUCGUGGGCCCAGUCCAUCCGUCAGACAUAAUCGUGCAUCCAUAAGUCUUCCACUUUUCUCUUUGAAUAUUGACAUAAGCUUCUAUGUCUUUGUACUCCAUAUCCAAAUACUCGUGUUUGAUUUCAUAAGGAGACGGUGGUUUUAUACCCAUACCUACCAUCCAUAUAUAAUUAAAGCAUAUAAGAACAUUUGUGGCAAUCAUACUAUAUAAAUAGUAAUGAUAUUGUUAAAAUGAAUACAACUUUUAAAAUUAUAGUAAUUACCUGCUUGUUGUGCACCAACAAUCAUGUUCUUGAAGUGGUGAGAGUCUGUUUUACUGGGCGGAACACUCUCAUAUAUGAAGAACUUACUGAUCAAACGUCCCAUGGUUUCCUUGAUGGCACCACCUUUGAAAAUAUUUUUCAUAUUUUUAUGUCUUGCUACUGAAGAUUUGUACAAUGAGGGUGCAUCAGGCAGUGAUGGAUCUAAAUAUCGAACACUUUGCGAUUUUCGCAUUUGCCUUGUUGUUGGAUUGGUUGGAUGUGAAGACUUGCCUAUUAUAAUUAUUAAAAUUAAACAUAUAUGCUAAUUUAAUAUUAUUGAUAAAGUUGAUAAGAAAUAGUAAUAAUUCAAAUUAAUAUUAUACCUGUUUUUAUUUUGUCUUUUAUAAAAUGUUCUUCUUAUUGUCGAUUCCAUUCAGCAGCUUUUGAUGCUCGAACCGCCUCUCUAUAAGCAUGUCGCUCACCAAGGUGCAUGUCAGCCAGAUACAUAUACACAUCAUCAUCUCCAUCAUCAUCAUCACCACCAAGGUUCUCCUCAUCGUCCUCAUCAGUUACAUGCUUAUGUCUUAUUCCCAUUGUGUCUCGCAGUUCAGAUCGAAUCUCUUCUAUAUCUGUAGCUUUCUUCGCUUUUGCCUUAUUUUUUUGCUCUAGAAGUCGUCUUAUUUAUUGUUUCACUUCUGGAGGCAUGUUAGGACACUUUUUUGUAUUUGAAUUAGGGUCUGUAUGUGAUAGGUGAAAUUUAAAACGAGUAAUCCCACCACUCUUUAUUGCCAACCCACAGUAAUUGCAUACUGUUCCAUUUUUGUCCCCUUCCAUAGGUGUACAAUAUUUCCAACAAGGAUCUCGACCCAUGAUACCGCUUUCACUAGCCAUUUUCUAAAAUUGAAUUAUGAAACUAAUAUCAAAUUUAAAAUUAUUAAAGAUAAAACAUGUAAGAAAUUUAAUAUUCAUGAAAUUGAUAAGAACUAAUAAAAAUUGAAAUUAAAAUUAAAUUAUGCAUAUAUGAAAUAGAUAAACAUUACAAUAAAAUUUCAAUAUGAAUUAAAUUUAAAUUAAAUUAAAUUAAAUUUGUAUAUUCAUGAAAUUGAUAAGAAUCAUUACUAAUAAAAAUUAAAAUUAAAAUUGAAUUAUGCAUAUAUGAAAUAGAUAAACAUUACAAUAAAAUUUCAAUAUGAAUUAAAUUAAAUUAAAUUUGCAUAUUCAUGAAAUUGAUAAGAAUCAUUACUAAUAAAAAUUAAAAUUAAAAUUGAAUUAUGCAUAUAUUAAAUAGAUAAACAUUACAAUAAAAUUUCAAUAUGAAUUAAAUUUAAAUUAAAUUAAAUUAAAUUAAAUUUGCAUAUUCAUGAAAUUGAUAAGAAUCAUUACUAAUAAAAAUUAAAAUUAAAAUUGAAUUAUGCAUAUAUGAAAUAGAUAGACAUUACAAUAAAAUUUUGAUAAGAAUUAAAUUAAAUUAAAUUUGCAUAUUCAUGAAAUUGAUAAGAAUCAUUACUAAUAAAAAUUAAAAUUGAAUUAUGCAUAUAUGAAAUAGAUAAACAUUACAAUUACAUUUCCAUAUGAAUUAGAUAAUAUCAAUUAAACUAUUGUAGACCCCCCUCUUUUGGUCUCGUUUCUUUUUUUUUCCUCUACAUAUAUUAUGUUUGUUUUAGCCAUUGCGGAAGCACCUGGAAGAGGUGUUAGUGCCUUGAACAAGUGGGGGGACCUGGCUGUUUGGAGAGAUGAGCUGCGUGGAACACGUGGUGGAGCAGUUGGCCACAGCCAUGGUGGUGGUUGGGGCUCCAGUUUGCUGAGCAGAGGAACAGUAUAGUAGCUGAUGGCUUGCAGGAAAAGCUUUGACGGAGAAGGAGGACAGAGGAUUUUUAAGAGGAUCCUUUUGAGAGUGCUGGCAGGGGGGGAUCUUGGAGGGAAAGGGAAGAGGAGAAGUAAGUUUUGAGGAGAAAGGGGCUUUCAGGUAUGGCCAUUUAUGAUUUUUCCCGAAUAUUCUGAUCUUUCAUAUCUUUCCCAUCUUACUCUCCAUGAUUCCAGUUUUGCUUGAUGAGUUGUUUUGUUUUGAUGAUUGUUGGUUUAACAUUAAAAAAGAUGGCUGUUUUUUUUGUGUUUUACCCGUGCAAACCUCUUCCAACUUAACCCUUUGAUCGUUAAGCUCAUGGAUGAAAGAAUGAAACGAAGUUAGCACAUUCAUCAAAAGGUUCCCUGCUAUGUUUCUCCAUUUGUUCCCUUUGCUUGAGUAUGUGAGUAUUGAUGCUAAUAGUAGCAAGGUCCCAGCCAACUUUGUACAAUAGAGCUCAGAUGUUGCUCUAGGGGUUCAUGAUCAUCCUGUCAAGUGCCUAGGAGCAAAUGAUGCCCUUGAGCUUACGUUUCUAAGUCGUGUUCUCCCUACCAAGCUGGAUACCCUCCUUGCUAAGGACGGGGGGACGAAACCUAUUAACAGCCGAAACCCAAUGAUAAGAUCCAAGUCACUGUCGAGUAUCUCAAUGAGAAGGAUGCCAUGGUUCUUUCUUCGUGUACAUGUUGUUCCCAUCUCCACCCAAGUUGACUAAACUGUCAUCAGUGAUGAGAUUGCUGCCUACACUAAAUAAUACAUCAUCCAGCCGGUUAUUCAUGAGAAACAUUAAGAUGAGAAGUCCACCUUCCAACACCCAUUAAGCCACUCUUCACACCCAUCUUCUCUCAUUAACAUCCUCAUACCCCUCCCACCACUUCGUGAUUCAUAUCCCCAUCAUCCCCAGCCGUCCAUGCUAUCAAUAAUAUCCCCACUUAUCUUCAUACCCAUUUGUUCCACUAUUCGGAAUCCCCAUGCAUGCGAAACUGGACGCGGAAGCCAUGAUAGCAGAGAUUGUGAUGAAGAACGUGGAAUGCGGUACCCUGUUGCAUGAAGUGAGCAUGGUGGAGCGGCGGUUUGAGGAGUCGACGAGGAAGAUAGAGCUGUAGAAGAGCUUGCUGGAGGUGUUGGAGUUGGAGAGGACGAUAUUGCUGAAUGAUAACGUGCGGCUGGGGCGCGAGAUGAGUGCGCUGAUUGAGGAGAACAAGGGGCUGUGGAGGUCCCGGCUCCUGCUCCGACGCUGGAGGCGCUGAGUCCUCCAGCACCGCCGGCCGAAGCUCCUAGGCCACAGCUAGAUGCGAUCCCAUCCAUCUCCAUCUCUGCCAGGUGAGAGUAGGGCAGAGAAGAUCACGUGCGUGAGGUAGAGGGUAGAAAUGGAUAAAGGGCAUAGAAAAUGGGCUACAGCAAUGCAUGGAAUUGUUUGAUAAAAGAAAAGAGAAAUGGGUUUGUUGACACGUGAAAGAACUAUGCACUUUAAAAAAACUCUCCCUGUUUGUUUUACAUAUUCUCAAACAAUGCUUAAAAAUCCCUUAAAAUUUUAAAGUUAAAAAUUUAUUCACUUAUUCAUGUUUUUCUAUUCACUUCAAAUUCUCGAAACUCAAUCCUAAAAUUUAAUUUCUUCAAAGUUCAAUCUCCAAAAUAACUUUUUUUUUAGGUUCUAAUUUUAACUUUAAUUCUCCAAAGAUCCAAAAUUUUAAAUUUAACUUUCCAAAAAUCCCACAAUUCCGAAUUUAAUUUUAGGUCUUGUAAAUUAGUAUUAUUAUCCCAUAUUUAUUUAUUUAAAGUCCAAUCCUUCAAAAAUCUCAUUAUUAUUAUUAUUAUUACUUCAACUUUCGAAAUCAAUUUAUUCUUAUUAUUAUUAUCAUUAAUCCAAACUUUCAAAAUCCUAUUAUUAUUAUUAUUAACCCAACUCUCAAAAUAUUAUUAUUAUUAUUAUUAUUAUUAUCAUUAAUUCAGACUUUCGAAAUCUUAUUAUCAUUAUUAUUAAUUCAACUUGCAAAACCUUAUUAUUAUUAUUAUCAUUUCAAAACCUUAUCAUUAUUAUUAUUAUUAUGAUUAUCAUUAUUAUUAAUUUAACUUUUAAAAUAUUAUUAUUACUGUUUUUAUUAAUUCAACUUUUAAAAUCUUAUUAUUAUUAUUAUUACUAAUUCAAUUUUCAAAAUCUUAUUAUUGUUAUUAUUAUUAUUAUUGUUAAUUCAACUUUCAAAAUCUUAUUAUUAUUAUUAUUAUUAUCAUUAUUAACCUAUUAUCAUUAUUAUUAUUAUUAUUACUAUUACUAUUAUUAUUAUUAUUAUCAUUAUUAUUAAUUCAAUUCCCCAAAUCUUAUUAUUAUUAUUAUUAUUAAUUCAACUGUCAAAAUCUAUAUUCCCGUAGUUUAAUUUCUCAAAGUUCAUUUCUUAUCAUUACUGUUAUUAUUAAUUCAAUUUUCAAAAUCUAUAUUCUCGCAGUUUAAUUUCUCAAAGUUCAUUUCUUAUCAUUACUAUUAUUAUUAAUUCAGCUUUCAAAAUCCAUAUUCUCGCAGAUCAAUUUCCUAAAGUUCAUCUCUCAUUUUCUUUGACGAAUUUCAAUUUAAUUACCGAAGCUCUAAUCUUUCAAAGUUAAUUCCAAAUACUUCAAUUUUCAAAUAAAGUCUAAUAAUCCAGUUUUCACUCGAAUGGUUUUAAUCCCAUUUCAGUCCCUAAAUAAUCUUCUGGUAUUCUUGAUUUUAUAUAAGCAAUAGUGAAUUCUUCAUAAUUCUAAAACACGGAAUUUGUGAGACUGGUUCAUGAAUAAUAAAUUGGGUUUUGGUGGGAGGCACUAUGUUUGAUCCCUAUUGAUUGUCAACUGUUGUGCUUAAUGUAUUUUUGCUUGAUCUUCAUUUUGCACCCUGAUAUGCAUGAGUUAUAAUUUGUAUUCAUUAAUUAUGCACUAAUCCUGUUUCUUGAUAGCAAAUUGCUGUUUGCUACCCAGGUACGCAUUCACUCAUUCUGAUCAUUCACUAUACGUAUUCUGAUUCUCAUAUAUGCAUGAUUAAUGUGAGUAUCCAUUGACUUUCUUAUUCGAUUGCCACGUCAGUUUCACUUUAUUAGUAGAGACCCGACUUUAGGGACUUUGAGGGGUGCUAUGGUCUCUACCGUACCUUCCCGAUAAGUAACCUGACCCUCGAACCCGAUCCGGUUUUUCACAGACCACCUUUUCCAAAACAAGGAGUCGCACUUAGGGUUUUUCUUUCUUAUUUUGUUUACCCUUUAAAAAUAAAACAAAAAUAAGUGGCGACUCCAAGUCAUUUUCAAAUAAUCAAUAAAAAUCAAGUUUUCAAAUAAAAAUCGAGUUCGUCAUCGAGUGGGAAACGCAUUGAGCCGAAAUGCGGGGUCCACAACUAUAUAUAACAAAUAAAAUUGAAUUAUGCAUAAUAAAAUAAAUUUUAUGAAAGGUAAGACAUACCUUAAUUAGCUUUGACUUGGAGUUAAUCCCUUUCACCAACAAAUUUUCAAAAUAAAAAAAUUUUGCUAGAUCAUAUAAGAAUUUUGAUGUAUGAAAUGGAAUGGAAUGUGGGUAUUUAUAGGAAUUUUUUGGUCAAACUACUCGUUGGAUGGUCAAAUAGCCGUUAUAAAUUAAUUUUAACCGUUGGAUCAAAAUUUGGUUCAAAUUUCACCAUUAGAUCUUCAUAUAACCGUUGGAAACACUCCAUAGCCCUUGGAUAAAGUGAAGAUUGAUUUUCCACCAUUGGAUCACAAAUCUGACCAUUGGAGGCCUUUAUAAACACACGGGUGAAAUUUGGGCCAUCAGAUCCUCAAAAAUUCAAAUUUGGCCGUCAGAUCAAAAUCCUUGAAGCUGUAAAAAAAUCACCGAUUAAUCGCGAUUUUCUCGGCAAAAAAUCGUUGAUAUAUCGGUAAAAUAGCUGAUUUUUUGGGCUCCUCCUCCGGCUUCUUCGUGCGUGCCUCUACUCGCGAUUUUUCGUCGAUUUAUCGGUGAAGCACCGAUAUUUGGCCGAUAUAUCGGCGAUUUUGCCGAUUUUUCCGUCGAUUGAUAAUCGGUGACGAUUAUUAUUUCGGUGCCGCCCAAUAUCCGAUAUUUCUCCGAAAUAUCGAUGAUAUAUCCCGAUUUUUCAAUCCCUAGUUAGACCCUUAGAGGGAUUUUAAGUAGAGAGGGCCCGAGCUUGACAUUUCUCCUCCACCUCAUUCAGAUGGUAUUCAUGUUGAGACCACUUUCUUAGAGCCUAUGAUGAUUGAGUCGUCUUACACUACAGGAGCAUCAUCUCAGCCAUCAUUCACCGAGCUUCCUCACACAGAGAUACCAUCUCAGGCACCUCACGCUUCUGAUCAUGCCCCUUGGAUGGAUGUAUCAGCUCAUAUCAGCUUCCUUGGGACUCCUAUGGAGGAGCUUGCUUUAGUCAAUGAUACUCGAUUCUACUCUAUGGAGGAUCACAUAGAUCAGUAUCAGACUGGCUUCACUUCUCGUUUUGAGCACUUCCAGCAGAGAUUUGAGCGUAUAGAGGAGCGUAUGGAUCAACAGCAGGCUACAGUUGAGCAUCUCCAGCAAAGUAUUGAGCGCAUUGAGAGUCGCCAGGCGAGUUAGCAUGAGGAGAUGAUGGCUUACCUCCGCUCCGUGUUUCCAUCUUCACCCCCUCAGCCUUGAGUUUAUCUAGAGUUCCCCCUCAAUUUCUUUUUUAUGUUGCUAAAGGGGGAAAAAUAUCUAGGAUCUAGGAAACCCUCAUGCAUAUCAUUGUCAUAUCUAUCUUGAUUAGCAUAUAUGUUAUGUUUUCGUGUACAUGUGAGGUUACCAUAUAUAUGAUAUGCUAUUUUCAUGAUCCAUUGUUUCCUAUUCAAUUUUUCAUGCUUUACAUUGUUUCCUAUUGAAAAUUGAUUGAUUGAUCCAUGAUUGGUUUGAGGGGGAGAUUUUUUUUCUCUCCUAGAUAACCAAGGUUGGUCAUCAUAAAAAAUGGGGAGAUUGUUAGCCUAAGGGCUCUCCUAAUCGGGUUUUGAUGAUAACAAACCAUGGUUAAAUGACUAAUUGGUUUAAUGGUUAAGAAUCUCAGGCAUAAACUCGAAAAUUCAUCAAAUGACCAAAUGGAUACAAGAUCGAGACAUUUGGAAGACUUGUGAUCAUAGGAAACUAAUGUAAGAUAAAUACAUGAGUGCACUUAGGAUUUUCAUACCGUUUCAUGCAAUUUAGAAAACUCGGUUUAUUUUUUAAAACUUCGAUUUCAUUAAAACCCGAGUUUUAACAAAUGUACCUUAGGCAAAAUGUUUUAAAAUUGGCAUAAUAAUUCACCUAAAAACCUUGCCUAAGUGUUAGAAAAAAAAUGAAUUCAAAAAGAUAGGUUUUUAGGGCCAAAAGGCUCAACCGGUUGGAGAACCAGUCGACCAAUUGCCCUUCUCCGGUCGAGGAAUGCACAAAAUUUUCUCUCUCACAGUAGCCUUCUCUUCCCAGUCGAGGUUAUUCUCUUCCCGAUUGAGAACUGGUCAAGGUCCGGUCGAUGACCGGUCGAGGCAACGGUAUCCUGUCAAGCAUUAAAUGCUCCAACGGCUAGUGAACCGGUUGACCCCUAGUUCGAUCGGUCGAGGUUACCUUUUGCUGUUUUUGGCUCCCGAGCUUAGAAACCUAUAAAUUGAGAGCUCCACUUCAUUUAUUGACGAGAGAACACUUGCAACUAAUUGUCUACCUACCUGUUCUUGAUCAAAAAGCUUUCAUUUCUUUCUUAGUGCAUUAAAUCUUCAAUUGCAUAUCCUUUAGUGCACUCUUGUGUGUCAUCCUAGCUUUGUCUUAUAUUUGAGCUAUCCUUAAGCUAGGUUGAGGGAUUCAUUCUUGUAAAAAUCGAGUGUUAAAGCCUUCAAGAGGUUUAAAUCUUGAAGAGAUUGUGUAAGAGCCCAUUGGAGCCGGAAUCCAAGUGUAAGAAGAUUGGAAGCUUGGUUGAAACUUUAAGUUAGUGGAACCCUCACUCAGUUAGGAGAUUGAGGAGAGUGGACGUAGGCAAGAAAGUGCCGAACCACUAUAAAAUCCGAGUUUGAAUUCUUUAACUCUAUUUCUUUAUUUUGCUUAUAUUUUGCUUGAACUCGUUGUGAUCGAAAAGAAUUUAAAAAAUCCAAUUCACCCCCUUCCCCUCCUUUUGGGUGUUUUUCUUAAUUAAGCAUAGCCUAUAUUUUCUCAUAAAUAAUCUCACAAAAUCCUAGUACAAACUUUAGCCUCAAAUUAUACAAGAUAAACUAGGAUUGAAUGGUGCACUAAUGAUAUGUAAGUUUUAAAACAAUGUGUACUAAAAAACACUCCCCUAAGGCUCAAUUAUAUUCAAGAAAGGUUUAAGAAGGUUAAACUCUUGAAACUAUAAAGAUUGAAGCGUUUUUAUAGAAGAGAAAAGCCAAACUACCUAUUGGGGGUUCGUCUGGUCGAGCUCUGGUUCGACCAGUUCACUAGCCAUUAGCAUUUAAUGUAUGAUAGGUGACCAUUGGGCCUUGACUGGUACUCAAUUGGAUGAAGUUCAACCUUGAUUGAUCGAAUAAGCAUUAUGGAAAAGAGAUAAGGUUUUUGCACCCUUCAACUGAGUAAGUUGAAUAAGUCGACUAAUUCCUCAUUCAAUUCAACCAAUUAAGUCAUUUUUUGCUAAAAAAACCAUCAUUUUCAACUUAAAACCUUUUAAACAAGUUUGGAAAGCAUUUGACAUAAGGUUUUAGUUGAAAACAUGAAAUCAUCCAAUUUUUAAAAGAUUUAAAACAAAAUAACUCUUGAAUGAUUUUAGUGUAUAAGUAAAGAAUGUAAUGCAUGAAAAACCCCAUGCACUAACAACCUUACAAAGAGAUCCUAUGAGGCUUAGGUCUUGAAAAAACACUUAUCUUUAAGGUUUUCUUCUUCUUAUUGAUUUUAUCUUUGUGAUUGCCACUUUGGAAAUCAUCUUGCCUAGUCACACUUAAAAUAUAAUCAUUAGUUCUAAACCUUGUUUUGUUAUCAUCAAAACUAAGAUUAACCAAACCUUGGUUUCACAGUAUGAAUAUUGUAUCUUUAGAUCUAUAGUUAAUAGUGGUUUUUAUAGUCAUAUGUUUCUAUUGUGAUAAAUUUAGAGAUGCCUAGGGAUAGAUGAAUGCACCCUAUGAGAUCUAGUGCAUAUGAAUGGAGUAAUCUGGGGUUCCUAACAUAGUUUAGGCUUGUGCUUCAUAGAGCGAUAACAAUUCUUCAAGCAUAGUUAUGCUUUAGAAAUUUGUUAUUGAUUGGUCCAAUUUUUAGACCAUCUUUAGCAACAAUCUUGUGGGCACCAUUGAUAUAAACUUGUUAUACAAAAUAUGAUCUAUCACAUUUUUGGCAAGAACUUUCCACUAGUUUUGUGCAUGGUAAUGAUCAUGCAUGCAAACUUAACUAAGUUAUACACUAGAUGCCAAACUACUACAAUUCUUAUACACCUUCCCAUUUUGUGCAACCGAACAAUUCAACAUCAUAACACCAAAGUUCUUGCUUAGAUUUCCUACAGUGCUAAAAUUUUGAAAUGAUUAAUUUUUUUAUUUUCCUUUCAAUACCAAGACCCACAUACAUCAUGUCAUGCCCUAAGACCCACUCUAAGGGCAUGACAAUCAUUUCACAUCUCAAGGUAGAAAGCUCAAAGUGUAAAUUGACCUUAACAUUCAUUUUGUAACUGGAAAAUUAUCAAUUACCAAAUUCAUAUUCAAAGUAGUAGAAUAAAAUUCUAUAAGUUUCAAAUCUCAACUUUAAAGCUAACACAUCAACUAAAGUGUUAUUGUCCAAACAACUUCAAACUUAACAAUUCAAGCAAUCAUUAAAUUCUAGCUUUCAAAAAAAUAAAGUUUUAACCAAAAGUCUUAAUAUUGCCAAAAUAUCAUCCUAACGAUCACUCCUAGCCCGAAUUAAGGUGCCUAAAAAAUUGUCAAUGAAAGGAAAUGAGAUCAACGCUCAAUAAGGAAUAUUAACAAAGUUUCAUGGAUCAAACAUUUUUAAUUAUAAUUCCAAAUAGGAGAUAUAAUAUAUAAUCAUUUUCAUAAAAACUUUUGAGUUUAAAUAUAAUAAUACAUUCAAAAAUUUUUAGCUAAACAUUUUCAUAUCUAUGUCAAAACAAUUUCAUAUCAAAUUCAAAUCAAAUAUAUACAAAAUAUUUUUAUUUUGGUUAUCAAAUAUCACAUGGUGUCAAGUUAGGUGGGACUUUACAAAUUGGUGUCUAGCCUCAAAUUUUUUCAUUUCAAGGUGGAUGAAACCAAACACUACUAGUAUUAUUAACAUCUAACCAAAUGCCUAAAGGGUGGAAUCUAAAGCAAUUACAUGCCCCGCCAAGAAAUAUAAGGUCAACAAUUAUAACUAGUUAACUAAGGACAAAAAUAAACUAGAGUCAAACACCUUAUUUCAUUAAUUCAAACUUACAAAACAAAAACAUCAUAUCUCCAUAAUUUUCAUUUUUUAUAAACAAAAGAAAUGUUCUAACAUAUUUUUUUCAUGAAAAAUAUAUAUUUGAUCCAUGCAUAAAAAUAAAAAUAAUUUUUUUUAUUAUUCAAAAUAACAUAUAAAAGUAAAUAUGUUCUUUUGGCCAAAACAUGUAUUAAUUUUUCUUACCUCAAAGAAACACUCAAAGACCUUGAAGCAAUUAAUCCUGAAGAAUUUCACCCCAAAAAACAUAUUUCAUACCUUACAAAAAAAAAACAAAAAAACAAAAUUACUAUUGAUUAUUUAUCUAAUAAUAGUUUCGUAUCUCAUAUCACCUAUAUUAUUUUUAACUUCCUAAUAAAUAACAAUUUAAUAAGUGAUUUUCCAAAUUUUAAAAAGUUAUGUUCUUUCCAAAAUUUAUUCAUAAUAUUCUAUUAUUAUUAAUUAAAUCUCUCAAAAAUAUGUUUUUUCUAUUUAUUGCAUUAAACUAUUAUUAUUAUUAUUCAAUUUCAAUUUGAUUAAUUGGUUUUUUCUUUUAAAUUUUUAAUUUAUAUAAGAUUCUUGUUUUGAAAAUCUUCCAUAUUUACUUAUUUGUUUAAAGUAAAUUUCUCCAAAACUUGUUCCUUUUUGUUAAACAAAUAUCUUUUCCUAUUAUUAUUAUUAUUAUUAUCCCUAAUAUUAUAUUCAAAUAACUAAACAAUAAUAAUUUAAAUUAGUGAGUUUCCAAAUUUUUAUAAAACUCAUAUUCAUUCUAAAUCUUAUCAUAUAUAUCUAUUUCUUUUAUAUAAUUAAAUUAAAUUAAAAAUUUUACUUAAAUAUAUAUAUAUAUAUAUAUAUAUAUAUAUAUAUAUAUAUAUAUUAUAUUAUAUUAUUACUUUCAACAUCCUUCUACCACCGAAACAAUUACCUCAAGUAAAAGUCAUCUAUCCUUAUUCUACUAACUACCCUCUCUCUUGCAAUAGCACACUUAGGGAUGGCAAUGGGGCGGGUUCAGGAUAGGUCACCCCCAUCCCAACUCCACCUUGUUUAUUCAAAAUAAUUAUCAUCCUCGUCCCAUUUAAAAAAUUAAAUGAGACGGGGCGAGUAUGAUAAAUUCUCAUACUCGCCUCGUCCUGCCCCGUUUAACUUUUUUUUGAAUUUAUUUAUUUAUUUAUUUUUAAAAUUACUUUUAAAAUUUUUAAUUACAUUAAAAUAAAUAUAUUUUAUAAAUAAUUAAAUAAUUAUAUUUUUUAUUACUUAUUUUAUUAAAAAUAUUUUAUUAUUAUCUAUAUAUUAAAAAUAGUAAAAUAAAAAUUAAAUUAAAUUAAUUUUAAAAAUUAAUUUUAUAUAUAAUUGGGGCGGGGUGGGACGGGGCAAUACCCAAACCUGCUUCGGGUUUUAAAAAAAAUUCUCAAACUUGUCCCAAACCCGUUUAUUAAAAUUGAACUCCGUCCCAUUAGGGACGAGGCGAGUACCUCGAAAAAACCUGCCUUAUUGUCAUUCCUAAGCACACUUUCAUUUUUUUUUUUUCAUUUUUAUUGCUUUUAUCUUUUUCCUCCCUAAGAUCAAUCAUAUUGUAAGCACCCCUUUUUUUUUUCUACCACAUCUUGUUGCAAUCAACCUUGUAAGUUUUUUUAAUUUAAAUUUUUUUUCCACUAUGGAGGCACGUACAACCAUAAAACCCCAUCUUUUUUUAUUUUAUUUUUACAACUCUCAAAUCUCUCAACCUCCAUACUAUUAGGUUUUAUUCAUUCAUUUAUUUAUUUAUUAUUCCAUAUCCAAAACUAUAAUUAAUUUUCUUUUAUAUUUUUUUAUUUUAGAUCUAUUAAUUUGAAUAUUCAAAAUUUCUAAUCUUUACUAAUAACUCUAAAGCAUUCAAAACUAAUUAAUAAAUAUAAAAUAUUAAUCUAAGGAUUAAAAUCUUAUAUAGAAAAUUGAUCUUCAAAUCUUAAACCCCCAAAUUUUCAACCUUACAUUGCGUUGUCUAAUAUCUCAAAUCUCCAUGUAAAAGGGCUUUUGAAUAGAGUAAAUAAGAAAAAUUUAAUUUAUACCUAAAAUUUUUAAAAUAGAGAAAAAUCUUUCUACCCUUAUUAAUUUAAUUUAAUUAAUUUUUUAAAAUUAUGUUUUUACCCUUUAAUUGGGUUUGGGCAUCACACAUCAUACUAAAAAGUUAUCAAUAACCGUCCUUUGAGGCAUAUUAGCAUAAAUUUGCAACUUUAGUUGUGUUCUAGGUGCAAUUCUAUUAUGUUUAAUUGAAAAAUAACACACAUAGCACAACCAAGCCUAAUUGAAAGCAUUUGGGCAAAUAAAUGGUAAAUUUCUAAAAGUUCACCAAAACAAAAAAAAAGAUCAUAGAGGGCAUAUUUUUCAAGUCAACCUAGUUUUGGGAUAGCCACUUUCAAGCCUAAUGAUGUUAAGAUGUCUUAUUGCAAUCCAAUCUAAGAAUGCAAUAAUAGCUCUUUAAUUCAUAAUUUUAAAUUCACAAAAGAUAUCACCAAAAAUUACCAUAGGUUACCAAAGCAUCAACAACAUACAGAAAGCUUAGAAAUGCUUGGAACCUAUCGGAUUUUCACUUUUUAGGAAUAAAAAAAAAAAUCAACUUUAAGGAUUUUAGGGUAAUACUUGCUUGAACCAUCUUUCAAUCCUUUUGUUGGUGGUGGGCCUUUUACCUAUAGGAACAGGAAUAAGAGGUGAAAAUGAGGGAGCCUUAUGAAAACAGAUCCCUAGGGCUUAAGAAGGGGUUUUCAAUUUUAGGGUUUGCCUUUUCACCAAGGAUGUGAAUGGGAAGAUCAAGUGAAGUUAAGAGAUUGGUGAAGCAAAGUGAGGGCAUGGUAGGGUUUGAAUAAGGGAAAUUCUACACUAUUAAUGAAGAUGAUAAUCUCGAGAAAGCAAAGCUAAGGUAAACUAGGGUUUUAAUAACAUUUUUCAAUCUACACUAGUGAAGACGAUAUCUUCGAAAACCAAAGCUAGGGUAAGCUAGGGCUUUAAUAAUGAAUUUCAAUCUACAAUGGUGAAGAUGAGAAUCUUCGAAAACCAAAUCUAUAAUGGUGAAGAUGAUUGAAAACUAAAUCUAUACUGGUGAAGACGAUUGUAAAGCAAAUCUACACUAGUGAAGAUGAUAAUCUUCGAAAACCAAAUCUAUAAUGGUGAAGAUGAUUGAAAACUAAAUCUAUACUGAUGAAGAUGAUUAGAAAGCAAAUAUUCACUGGUGAAGACAACGAAACCAAAGGUAGGUCUUCUAAACUAAACCCUUUUAGGGAUUUUCCAUUUUUUUUCCUUUGUUUUCAAGAAAGGUAAACUCUCUUGAAAACCAAAAAACUAAUGCAUUCUUAAAUCCAGAUCACCAUUUUCAACAUAGUAUUUGGAUUUCCACCUUGCAUUUUUUAUUUUUUAUUUUUUUUAAUAGUCAAGGGCAUUUUAGGGAUUAUUGAAGGAUAAUAUCAAUAAGCUCAAUUUCCUACAUUAGUUAGGUCUUAGGCUCAAAUGUGAAACUUAUAGGGAUGUUAGGCCAAUUAUCAAACUUACUUGCCUAAAGCAUAAUUUCCCCUUUUCAAAAUAGUUGUUAAACAUCAAUCCCAAACAUGUGUAACCCUUUGAAGUACUUGUAUGUCAACCUUGUUUCCUUUCCCUCAUGCAACAUGACUUAUUGAUGGUUGCAUUGAAUCAUUAUCAUUCACCAAAUCCAUGCAACUAUGGACUACCUUUCAAAUCCCUUGAACAUAAAUGGUAAUUCCAAAACAACUCAAGUAUAAUCUUUCCGGCCUUUCAAAUGAUUUAAUUAAUUGAUGUUUGAAUAUACUUCAUAUAUUUUUUUAGAGCAAUUUUUAGGCAUAUGACAUAAAUCUCUAAUUUUUUUUAUUUUUAUAAAAGGUUUUAUAUUUUAUAUUACAAUUUCCUCUCUUUUUUUUCAUCUAAAAAACAAAAUAUAAAACCUUAAUAAACGAGUUUUGUCACAAUCCCUUAAAAGGUAAUCUAUUUUUAAAAAUUACUUUAACCAUUUUAGAUAUAUUGAUUCAGUCUAAUUUAAUUUUAAUAUUUUUUAUAAAAUAUUUUUAUUUUAUAUGAUUAUAAAUUAAUUACCAUUGAUUGCAUAUUAUAGAAUAUAUAUUCUAAAAUAUAUCCUAUUGACAAUAAUAUCAUAAGAUAUUAUAUCCAUAUCCUAAUAUAUUAUAUACUUUUAUUUUGUGCAAUUAGCAACAGGGUGGAAGACGGCUUAGGCGGGAGACGGCUUAACGGAAAUGUCGUCUGCCAUGCGUGUCCCUUCCCUUAGUGAGUCUGAACAGCUCCAACAUUUCUGACACGCCCUUCUUCGGUUAGCUCUUAAGUAUUUUCGUUAACCCCAUCACAUUUCGCCAUGUGGAUCUAAGCCUCAUGGUCCUUUCGUUCGUACUAUGAAUAUAUUCCUUAUCUAGAGUCUGGAUCCUUUAUCUCUGCACGUGUCUAUGGCUCUUCACCCCAGCAAGUAUGGCAUUACAAGGGCAAUAUCGUCAUUAAAGACCCAAAAGGCAAACGAAUGGCAUUAUCUUCCUUUUGGGUCUAUUCUAUUUAUAUUUAUAUUGCAAGUUAUUCGUGAUGACUUCUCUCAUAACAGCUAAAAACCACUCCAACAGAGCACACUUCACUUCUUCGUUUUUGUCUUUCCUCUUUUUUUUCCAGAGAAGCUGAGAAAGCCCAGCUUGCCCUCAACUCCCCGAUGGGUUUGAUGAAUGUUCUCAAAUUCUCAGCUGCAUGCUUUGAUCUUCUUGGCUGGUAUGUUGUCCACGGAUUUUCUCGUCAUUGGAAAAUGAAGUGGAAUUCUAUGUUUGAGGACAAAACUGGGAUUUGCUUUGAUUUCUCCAUGUUGGUUUUAUCCCUUUCCUUUGAAUUGUCCACAUUCUUGUCAUUGGUUGUUAGUUAUUUGUUUGGAUUUCUACUUGCAGGCCUCUGUUUGCACUGGGUUAUCCUCUGUAAGUCUUGGUCUUACACCCCAAGAUAUGAUCAUUCAUUUACUCUUUUCUUGUUCUAUGAAUUCUUAGUUCUGUUACAUUUAUUGGGUUGGAUUAUUAGUUAUUAUAUUAAUAAUCAUCAACGUCAUCUCGGUUCUUCACAGAUGUGCUUCAAUUCGGGUAAUUGAGACUAACUCAAUCUCAGACGUUCGGAAGUUGGUGGCGUAUUGGGUUCUAUUUUCCUUGGUUUCACUCUUUGAUCAUACUUUUGCCAAGCUCCUUGAAUGGUAAUUUUGCUCAACUGCAUUCCACUAUAUGUGGCUCUAUUUCUUUCAUUUCUCUGCCCUUAAGGAAUUUGGAGUUGCUUUUUUCAGUUUUCUUCCCUGUGAAAAUAAUCGAGAUGUUUAAUGUUCCAGGCCUGCAUGCUCAAGGAAGUGGUGUCAGCUUUGGAAAUAAGAUGGAUCUACUAGUUUUUAUUUCUCAUCUUUAUAGGGAACUUUCCAUAAUCACAGUGAUGAAUAAUUGUCUUGUUUGAAAGCAUGGUUGCACUUAUUUCCAUGGAAUUUGUCUGCUGAGAAACAAAUGGAAAUAGAAAAUUCAGAAUCUGACAAGUUUGUGUAGGGCAACUGGAUCUAAUCUCUUAGUCGAAGCUUAAUUGGGGCAAAUGCUGAUCAUCUUUGGACCAUUGAAGGCUCUAAUCUGUGCACAAUUCUAAUGUUUUUGUUUUCUUCAUUUCUUUUUCAACUGUUCAUAAUAGAUGUCAAAAGAUAAAACCGAACUUAUGUAGUCCAUCCAAGUGGAUGCAUAUAAAUUUAACAGAAACUGAAAUUCGAAGAAAUUUAUUUAUUUUUUUAAAUAUUUUAUUUUCUUAUAUAAUGCAUGUCAGGAUACCAUUCUGGCCUUACAUAAAGCUGAUGGUCAUCUGCUGGAUGGUGAUACCGCAUUUUGAUGGUUCAUAUUAUGUCUAUCAACACCUAGUUCAUCCAUGCUUGUCCAUUGAUCCACAAGUUGUCAUGAAUUGGCUUUUCAAUGAAUCAAAAAAGAAGUUUCAUAGCAGAGAAAACUUUCUUGUUUCAGCAGACCAAUAUAUUAAGGAGAAUGGACCUGAAGCUUUGAAGAAACUACUUGCUAGGAAGGUAUGCCAUUAUAAGUAGGAUUAUCAACAAGUCAAACAGAGUUUUAUUUGAGAUGUUCAAGUAAAAAAUGACUAUAGCAGGUCAUCUAGAAUUAUGUGGUCUAAAUUCAUGUAUAUAUCUAUAUAUAAUUGUGUUCUCUUUUUUUCACAUAUGCAUGUGCAUUUAGAUUUACAUAAUUAUAUAUGCAUAAUCAGAUUCAACUGUGAUAGCCCGGGAUUUAAUUCAGUAAUCAACUCUUCUGGGAACAUGUUGGUUAUGGUUUCUCUCUCACUGUCCUCUUAUUUAUACAUGACUUUGGCUUCAGUUGAGGAGCACAAAGCCUAAUGUUGAAGUGAAAGAGAUCAAAGCACCUGCAGCACCGGAGAAAAAAGGGGAAGCGGUAUGCACUCUAAUGUGGCUAUUUUAUUUCUAUGGAGGCAGAUCCCCAGAAAAAUGUUGCUCAUGUAAAUUAGUGAUGCAUUUAAAAGAAAAACCACUUUAUGUAUGUUUCUGUGAAAAAGAGAACAAGUUUAUGGAUUAAGUGAUAUUUUUUAUGGUGAAAUAAUCAAUAAUUUUCAAAAUAAUAAUAUAUUCGUGCAUGUUUUUGCAAUUCAUGAAUUCCUUUUACGAUUGAUUCUUCUCACCUCAGUGGAAGUGUGAAGAGCCUAAUGUUGCAGAAAAGGAGAUCCAAGUAGUCAAAGUAACAGACAUAAAAAAUGGGGGGAUGGAGCAAAGAGGGUAAGUUUUCCUUUUUAUUUAUAAGGAAGGCUGUCUUCACACAAGGAUUAUUGUUAUUAUUUUUAAGACAUGAAUGUUGAAUGCAUUUGGAAUUGUCGUUGAAUCAUGUGAAGUGUGAAGGUGCAAAUGGUGCUAAGAAGGAGAUCAAAGUGAUGGAAGUAACACAGAUAACAUUUGGUGAUACAGAACAGUGGGUAAGGUUUCUUGUCAUACUUAAACGGCACCUCAUAUUUCACUAGGAUUAAUUUUGGCCUACAAACAUAUUUGGCUACAAGUUGAAGACAGAUUUCCAGAUACUGGUAGAAGUUGAGACAUAAGUAAUGAAUGAGUUUAGAAACAUGCACAACUCUUGUGUGAAACACAAUGAGAGUGGAAAAUAGCUAAGUUGAAAAAUGGCCAAAUACUAUUUUGUAGUUCCCCCCACCACUUAAGUAAUUUUUGUCAUCCUUUGUGAAUGGACAAUGCAGUCCCUUCAGUAAUUCCGCUAUAUUCAUGACUUGGUGAAGCAUAUAACCAUUAGUGUCUUGUCCUAAGUUGACCUUUAAUGAUGAUCCAUUGAGAGGGAUCUGACUUUUGUCAACCCUCUUAGAGGUUAAACAUACGGGGCUUAACCCACUUUUCAAUCUCAUUGGAUAUAUGGCACGUGGUAUCCUCUUCAUCUUGAAAGAGUGAAGUGGUCAUACUCUUUCCUCCGAGUCCAUCGUGGCCAUGCACUUCUGGCUCAUUGGGCUGAGUGAAAGGAUUCCCUUCUGCUUCAAAUCAUAGAGAGAUAUGCCAUGGUCAGCCUCUUUAAUUUGAAGGAUUGAAGUACUCAAAUCCAUUUCUUUGCAUCCAUCUUAGUCCUGCUUCCAUGUCUCAUGGUUAACCAGGAAGAUCAAGCUUCCAUCCAUGAGAUCAGCAUCUGCAGGGUUAUGACUCCACCCUUCCUUGGCAUAGGAAAGCGAUCAUUAAGCCACAUGUCGGAUGACAGAAGUCGUCAUUCAGGUUAUCUUGAGAACUAGGGAAGUUGGAAUUCUAAUUAUUGCAUAUGGUUCUUGAUGUUUAGCCAAUAUACUAUAGGAUUUUAAGCAUCAUGCCCAUGUGCAUUGUGGUUUUUUAUCAGCUAUAUGGUUUACCAAACUGAGGGAUUGAUUAUAGUCAUAAGUACCCUUUUCCCAUUAAUUUCUUGCAUGUGCUUUGCUGAGAUUAUGUUUUUGACAGUGCUAAUCAGGGCAAACCAACAAACAGCUUUAUGUUAACUUUUACAAACUGCCACAUUUUCAGGUUGAACGAUCAGACAUAAAUCUUGGUGAAACUAGAAGUAAUACAACCUGUGCUGUGGAGAUAAAAGAAAGGGCAGCAGCACUGGUGGCUGCAGAAAUUGAGGCAUGUAGAGACAAUAGAACCCCCGAGAUACCUCUGCAUAAGAAAGUCCAGAAAGAGUGGGCUUGUGCUGUAUGCCAGUUCACAACCCAAAGUGAAGUGACCUUCAAUUCCCACCUUCAAGGGAAGAGACAUCAGGCCACUUCUGAGCAGUUGAGAGCCAAAAACCAGGCAACCAAAACCAAUUGUUCCCCAUCUGCUUCAAAGGCCAAGAAAUCUGAUCAGUCCACCAAAGAGGAGCAACCAAAGUGUCCUUCCAACAAUCUGAAUUCCAAAAACAAUGGAAUCUCAGCUGCUUCAACAGUGAAGAAACCUGACGAGACCAAAGAUGAUGAGCAACAAAAGUGUGCAUCCAGCAAUGGACCAAACCAGAAGAAUAACAAAAAGCAAGAGGAGAAGGUGCUAGUUCUUGAGACCAAUGAGCAAGGCCAUCAGAAUAAUUUUGAUCCACGAUCCCACAUUUAUUUUGGGUCUCACAAGUUUCAAAUUUGCAGAAAAAUGAAAGAUGUUUGAGAGAAAAUUAAAUCAUAUUGCACUACUGUUAGGAAAAAUAUGGCUGAAUCCAAUUGCUUUUCUUCUCCAAGUCUAUUAAAAAUAUAAUUUUUUCUCCAUUCCUGACAAAAUUUAAAUUUUUUCCUUAAAAAAAAAAAAAUUAAGUUUGAUCACCUAACACAUCUUUCUAAACUCAAUCUCAACUUGAAAAAUCAAACCUUAAUGGAUGGACUAUAGAAAUAGUGAGAAAACACUUCUGGGGUUUUUUUUUUCUUCCAACAUCAAAUUUUUCUAUAUAUGGGAUUUCACAUGCAAAAGCAGGAGUAGAUUUGCUUGUGUUUGAUGUAUGUAUUAGAAAAAUUUGUCCCUUCUGGGAUGUUUAAUACUUUUCUAUUCUUUUAUAUGCAUGUUUAGCUAGAAGAUAUAGAAUCGAUACCAUUCCUUAAAAGUGAUAGCCACAACUGUGAUAAUUAAACACCAAAGAAUGUGAAGAUCUAUAUAUUCUUUUUUUUUUCCUCUCUCUUUCAAUAAUGAAGCUAAGAUGUGUUGUAAGCAUCAAAUGCAUUGUCUCUGCUUGAAUAUAUACAAAGCCAAGGACCACAAGAUGGAUAGAUAUGGGGACGCACAAAACUUCUCAAACAUGAUUAUAUUAAUCAAGAAUUCAACUAAGCUUAAAUUCAAGAUGUUGAUUUCUAGCAUCUCUGGUGCUAUAGGAUGACUAUUGAUCCUGUACUGUUAUGUGCCCUACUGAUAUAUUCUUCGGGUUGUUAUGUAUAAAUAAAAUUUUUGGGAAAGUUUGCUUGGUGGUUACACUAUCACUAUUUAGGCCAGUAAAAAUUGGAAGCCUUUGUAAAAAACUGAUGGUCCAAGAGCUAUUCUACUUCAUCAUCCAUGUAAUAUGACGAUACAAAUUUGACUAAAUGCAGCUAUAGAAGGCUUAGGACCAUAAACCAAGCCUAGUCGAUGUCACUCACCUAAAUUUAUGCAUAAAGCUUUUGGAUGGCUCAGAGUUAUAUUUAAUUACUGUUAUGUUCGCAACUAUAUUUUCAUUGGAUUUAUAGUCCAGCUUGAGAACUAGUCCUCCAUUGCACAUAAUGUCCACACAAGGCCACAGUGCCCGCUCAAAGGCCAUAGCGCUACUCAAGGAUAUAGUGCUUACUCAAGGCCAUAGAGCCCACCUAAGGCUAACGACCCAAAAGGAGAAAAAGGUUGGUUCCACGUACUCUAAUAUUUACUAGAAAAGGUUCUUCCUAUUAAAGAACAAAAAAUUGCAUUCCCUUGUGACCAAUCCAAACAGUAGACCACUGACUUGUAUAAGGCAUUAUUCACCAUGCAAGCACUUUUUCAGCAACCUACCAUCUGGCAUGAACCAUUUUGGAUUGAUUCACAAAGCAAUGGUGUUAUAUUAAGCAUAUUCAAUAUAGAACCAAAUUGUGCCUCCUUAGAUUAACUAAAAUAUUUCCAUUGCAAGAUGUGCAGAUAGGCAUAUGAUCAUGAAGUAAUUUCCUGAUGAUAAUACCCCACAAAAUAUUUCUUUUUCUCACUGAUCUCUCCUAGAUUUUCAGUUCACCCAUCCAUGGCGCCUGACUAAAAAUGGGGGCAUUUUGGAUACCCCGAGCAGUAAGUUAGCCUGGUAGGCAUCCCGUUGCAAGCAAAGUCAACCCGAGCGGUCCAUUUGACCAAAGCUUAUCCAGGCAGUAAGCGUCCAUAUACAGCUAACUGUUAUGCACCAUCAACAGGUUGAGGUUACAAGAUUAAAGAGUCAUAAUGGCCAAAUGGAAGUUACACGACUCGGCCUAUAUAAUAACAGUAUGACAAAAAAUGCAGGUAUGAAGAACUAUCACUGAAAAAAUUUAUUCCUAAAAAUCCUUUAAGCUCCUUUAAGCUAACUUGGGCAUUGGAGAGGUCUCUCCGAAGCACACUCGAGCUUACCUUUUUGUAAGACAUCGAGAACAAGAGGCAUUGAAGUGAUUGUCCGGAGGGUUGAACUUGGUCGGGAACCAACAAUACACACUAUUCAAAAAUAGGGAUCAUAUUAAAUUAUUAAUGCAACCAUAGGAAGCAAUUGAGGACAAGGGUGUUAUUUGAUUAAAAGGGUAAUUGAAAACCUAAAUUUUGAAAUUUAACCCUCCAUUCUAUUUGGCCUUAUGUGAACAAAAAUGCCUUCAUUAUUUUCUUGUAAAAAUAACUCACCCAUUUAAACCUUACAUGAAAAUACUUAAAAUGGUAAAUGAUAUGUUAAAAAUUGAUUAUUUUUCAAAUAAAACAUAAGAAGGGUCAAAUUCAUGAAAGGAUUAUUUCAUCCCUUUUAAUCAAUUAAUUCGAUUUAUUUCUUUUUAUUUUUUUUCUCUCCAUGUUAAUUUUCACAUCACCCAACAACACCACUCUUAAUUCACACAAGUUUGAAGUUUUUGAAUGAGAUAUAUUCGUAAUUAUAUUGUAAUUGUGUUAUAAUAACCAUUUCGUACUUGGAUUUGUUCUUUCAGUCCAUUUAACCUUUUUGUUUAUUCAUGUCAAAACAAUGUACUUAUAAUCGAAUCCAUUUAUGACAUGUUGAUCUUAUAUAAAUUUAUUAAUUUUAUAUAUUUAAAAAUUAUAAAAAUUAAAUAUACUUUUUCAAUUAUGAAUAUCAUAUUACUAAAAUAUUAAAUAACAAAUUAACUUGAAAUGCUAUAUAUUUCAUUAAUUAUUUUAUAAUUAAAACAUUAAAUGAAAUAAUAAACAAGUAUAAAAUAGAAAAUUCUAUCUUAGUUAGAAAUUAUAAACUGUUAUUGAGACAUAUAAGUAUUAAAAUUCUACCCAUUUCACUACCAAACAACUUAUGUUUUUAGUCAUAAUUUAACCUUAUGAUGAACACUUAAAUAAAAUUUGUCAUCUUUUUCUAUUGAUUUAUAUUUAUUUAUUUAAAAAUUUUGUCUGGCAUAAACUAUCAUCUCACAAAAUCAUCAUUGAUGAGUAGGCUAUGCCCCAGUGUAAGCAUCUCCAAAUCAAACAUCAAUGAGAGGAGUACAACCAAUCAUACAUCAUCUUAUCAAAAUGAAUCUCCGCUUUUCAAAGUCAUCGUGGUAACGUGAAGAGAGUAUUUGACCUCCUCUAAAGAAAAAACAUGUCUUGAUGUGAAAAAGAUCAAGCAAAGUGGUAUGCCUCAACAAAAAUGUGCUCAAACAUGAUCAUGCCCCGAUGUAAGUUAGUAUCUCUAAGAUCAAUCGCCAAUGAAAAGGUUAUUCCCCAGUAUAGGGCAAACUCUGAAAUGACUAAACUCCGUUGCAAGCUCUCAUAAGUGUCUGUGUCAUGAUCCAAUCAUCGCAAAAAUUUGUCAACAAUGAUGAGAAGGCUAUGCUCCUAUAAUCACAUCAAAGAAAUCACUCGGUCAUAUUACUCCAAUGUGAAAGAAAUCUAAUCACCUCCAAGGAACAGCUAUGCCUCAAAACCAUCAUCGACUGAGAGGGGGAUGCCCCUGAUCCAAUCACCACCCUAACUAACGUACCCAUCAUGAGGAACACUUGUUUGAGCUCCAUAAUGGGGAUCAACCAUUAGAUGAACAAGAUUCGAAUAUUACUUGCUCCCCAUUUCAACCAAUGAAUGAUGUACCUGGAAACCUUGUAGACAACCAUAGUUUUCAGCCUUCUUCCUCGCGAUCAUCUAGAACAGAGUCGGUAAGCUUCACUCAUUUCUUAUAAUGGACCUUGACCCACAACGUCGAACUACCUGUAUGCAAAAUUAUCCGUCCAGAAAACCCAUCCAUACAAUUCAGGUUCAAAACCCACAAGAACCACCCUAUGAAUAAACUAAUUAUAGCUGGCUUCGUUGCAAUAGGCAUUAACUUUCUUAUGCUGACAGUCCUAGCAUCAUUUACCAAAGGAUCAACAACUUUUCCAUGUCAGAGAACAUUAUCAAUCACAAUGACACCCCUGGUCCUCACUAGUUGCGAUAGCAAUUUAAAGUAUUCUUGAUUCAAAGGGUAAACAAAACAAAAAAGAAAACCCUAAGUGUGACUCCUUAUUUGAAAAAUGUGGUUUAUGAAAAACCGGAUCGAGCUUAGGGGUCAGGUUACUUAUCGGGAAGGUACAAAAAAAACCGUAGCACCCCUCUAAGUCCCUAAAAUGGGUCUCUAUUGAUAAAAUGAAGCAAUCAUGGCAAUUGGUAAGGAAAUCAUUGAGUAUCAACAUGAUCACACAUUGAGAGUUAAAGCAUGCAUGAGGAAUGGUCAAAGUGAGAAAGGAUGCGUACCUUAGCAACGAGUCCCAAUGCGCUAUCAAGAAAUUGGGUUAGUGCACAAUCAAUAAAUAUAAAAUAUAACACACAUGCAUCACUAAAUAGGGUAAUAAAUCCCCGAUGACAAACCUUGCACUUCACUCAGGUUUAUUUCUACUUCUCUGAUGUUGGGCCCCACCAAAGCUCAUUUUAUUUUGCAUGAAUCAACUCCAAUAACUCCAUUAUUCGGAAUUACGAAAUUUAAUUCUUGCUUAUUUUAAAGCAUUUUAAAAAUAGAGGAGAUAUGAGAAUUGCUCGCCAGAAAAGAAGAUGGCGGCAAAAUUUUAAUGAAAAACGAGUUUUUGGAACCUAAGAAAAAUGUUAAGGAUGGAAAAUUUUGGAGGUUUGAAAUUAAUUAAAAAUUAGAAUUGAGGAAUUUAUUUACAAAAUGGGGUUUAGGAAAAUUAUUUUCAAAAAAAAAAAAUGAUGAAAUGAGAGAUGGCACGUGACACAAGGGUGGCCAUGCUGAAGGCGUUCUCUUCUGGCCCAAGCUGGAAAUGCACUCCAAUUAUCCUUCUUUUCUGGUAUAACACCUUCAUCAAAAUAAAUAGCUUUUGCACCAUACUCUGAUAGACAAGGACCAAUAACAAUGCCUAUAUUUGCCUUAAGUAGACAAAGUAAGUCACCCAUUGAACCUCCAAUAUAAAUUGUCAAGUGCUCUGUGUCAUUACUGCAUCCCUCCUUCAAGAUGUCCUUAGAAACCUAAAGCUUUUCCACGACAUACUCCAUCUUCUUAAUGAUUUCACCCGUGGAAAUGGAUUCUUCACAAGCCAACUCAUUUGAAUAUACUCUCAAAACACCCAUAUCACCUGAUGAAAAUGCUGAUCUAACGAAAUCGCCACACCAACAGUAUGAAAGUCCAUGAACAUCUGCUUUCAGAUUAUUAUUUUUAAGAAUCUUUUGGAAGAAACCUGUGCAACCAUCUUGAAGAAUUAGACCUUGACCAACCUGUUUUAUAUCAUCUGAAUUUAAACCCUUCAAUACUCCAGACUGAGUCACUCUUGAAUCUGCCUUUUCCUCAAAAUCAGAAAGUUGCUCAAGUGCUUUACAUAAGCCUUCAUAAUUGAAUUUUUCCACUGUUUCACUGGGGACGAUGCUUCCCAUGCAUUUUUCAAGCUCUUCAGUAUGCUGGGUAGAUAGAACACCCCAUGUGUGUGUCCAGAUCACCAUGAGUGACCAUUUGAACCUUGACGAAUGAGAGAGUACAUAACAUUUAAGCACACAGGACAUAUAUUAACAUUCUCCAUUAGCUUCUCUUUGCCUUUGUCCACCUCUUGACCUCCCAUGCAGCCAACUGUGAAGACCACGUCCAGGUGCAGUCACGUGGUGACACAUCUCAUGGUCUUCCUCAUCCAAUAAAUCACAUGCUCUGUUAAAUCUGCUACCCGAAUGGAUACCUCCUAUCCAUCAACCUGAAUAUACUCCGAGCUUUCUUCAUAAAACCCAAGAAACUCCAGAAGGCAUCAUGGUUCUCCUCCAUCAUUGAAAUGAUUAGGGAUAGUAAAUCACUCAUCCCUUAGCAAUAUCCCAUUUUUAAACCAUAGGGUGCGUAGGCUUCUAGAAUAGUAGCAAAGUGAGCAACACGGAAAAUCUUGCGUGGAUCCAAGUUCCAUGAUGGUGAUCGUAGCCUCACCUUUGAAAUCACAAGACCCAGAACCCAUUCGUUCUUCCUGGUAAUAACUAUCAGAUGCAUAGGAGGCAGGGUUCUUCAGAUUGUUGAUUUGGUAAAAGCCUCUUCUGGUUGAACCCCUGAAUGAUUCACUUUUCUCAGUCCGCAAACCUAGUUCAGAACAGCCCGCAAGAUCAGAACCUUAACCUAGGCGUGGAGAUCCAGUGUUGUAUAACGCCUCAAUUGUCGGAAGCAGCCAUGGCCCAAACAAUGAUAUAAUGGUCAGCAAGUUGUCCCCAAGGACCAUGACAGUGAUGAGCAUUUCCGGGCAGCGCGUCACCACGUUCCACGUCGCGACGGUAAUGGCUAUGGACUGAGUGUCAUGGUCAGGGAGCUUGAUGAAGCAGGUGAAAAUCUGGUGUUUUAGAUUCUGAGGCAAUGACUGCUUGAUCGGUCGGAUUCUAGUACCGGCGUUACAUUGGGGAGGCAAUCUUAAAGUUCCAACGGAGGUAGUAGUGGACUAAUAUUCCUCAAUAACCAAACUUGAGUUUCUCACUUUCCGCUUCUCAAGGCAUUCACCUGAAACGCUUCAGGCGCCCAAACCCUUUCUGCUCAUCAGUAUAAUCACGCGCAUGAAAGUCUUAACUGCCUUCUAAACUUCACAACUUCAUCUUGCAUCUGGGUCAUCGUCGGCACGAACUUAUCACCUGAUUCAGUUAAUAUCCCCAUAUAACAAGUUCCAAUGAAGUCGCAACUUUGCAUCUUCUUUUCUGCGAUUACUUUGAUUCUCAAAGCCGAUUACUUGUUGCAGUCCAUAGGAGAUUCAAUAAUCAAACAUCAUGCACAAGCAAAAAGGCAACAAAAUACAUCGGCAUGUGGCCCAUACACCCUCCAAAAUCUUCACUCAUUUAGUAAGUUUUAGAUUCAAAAGAGUUAGCCUUCUGGUGAGCAACCCGAUACCCAUAACGAAUGAUGUAUCUGAAACACCUUUCCCACGUGGCCCUUGAAGGAUUCACUAGAAGGUGACCAUGCAUAGUAGGUCUUCACUCGCAGGAGAAUGAGAAGGAAAUAAACCUAAAGGGGGGUUGACAGCGUAGUCUAGAAGGUGAUGAGCUGAGCGGGUGGGGGUAUUAGGGUGGUCAAGUUCAGUGGGUAUGAAGGGUGGAAAGAUGGCAUGAUAGAGGAAUAAGCAGCUGAUAGUGGGUGCGAUGAUAUAAGGUAGGUUGACUAUGGAGAGUAUGGCAUUAAAGGAUGAAGACUUAGAGAGAGAGAGGUGGGUUUAAGGGUAUGGUGAGAUGGAGGGUUGAGGGUGAUAGGCUUGGAUAGUUGCAUGAGGAGGAUGAAAGGUGGGUAUGGAAAAUGUGCAUGGGUAGGAAAUGGGUAUAACAAUGGGUGUGAAUAUUGAGAGGUAGUGAAAUGAAGGCAGCCUUGCUCGUAUGGAUCAGUGUCGGAUUGAGUUAAGAAUGGUGAGAGAAAGGGAUUCGAUGAAUAUUGAAUGAUGGAAAAUGGUGAUUGGUUAGAUAGGGAUUUGUGGUCGAAUGGAAAUAGGAGACAUGAACAUAGAGAUGAGUGUGAUGGAUGAUAGUGGGCAUGAAGGGUAUUGGAUUUGUUCAUGGGUAUAGUGGUUAAAAGAGUGGUGAGAAGAAAAAAAAAUGGCCAUGUAAAUAGCAAUUAUACAUGUGGGCCCGUGAUUGCAAACGGGACUGCAUUGUUGCAUCUCAUGCUGAACCCUCACCUCCUUCUAGGAUCAUUUUCUGCAUCAAAGCUAGAUAAACUUAGAUGGUAUUUCCUGCCAAUUUUGGAUGCCCCCCACUUUGGAAAUAUUUCCUUUUCACCCAUCAGAAUAUGCUUAUCAGGUGUACUUGACUCAGGUUCAUUCCCAUAUUGCCUCUCUGAUUUAUGAUCUUCAAAGGUUUUGCAUGAAGGAAGCCUUUCACUGCAUUCCCCUUCAUCCACCAGACCUUCAGAGCAUCGUUUCCAACAAAAGCAACCUUGACUCUUCUAGUCCCAUCAGAAAAAAGUCUGAAUAUCCUCAGUUUAUGUCAUCCCUUGAUGCCCAACUCAGAAAUGAUCCAAAAAACAGUCAUCUCCCAUAUUUGGCUUCCCAGAAACACCUCGACUCAGAUGGCCAGUCCAAAUGUGAUACCCAACAUUCUAAAAAUGCUAAAAACAGAGGAGAUGAUGAAGAAAAACAGAGCAUGUAUAAAAGAAAAAAAAAAGGACUGUUAAAUCUCACUCCAUUCCAUAAAUGCUAAUGGGGUGGAUAUGGUGGAAUCAAAAGGAAGCAAGAGCGUGAUCUUCAAAAUCAAAAGCAAUGAUGGAUCCAUAUUCAAAACGUUCCAGAAUAGAGAAAGACACAAAUAAGGAGCAGGGUUUUUUUUUGUUACUGGCAGGAAGAUAUUUUUUCUAGAGAGUAACUAGAGAGAAAAAUAGGAAGAAAAGGGAAGAGCAUAGAAGACAUCUACAUAGGAGAGUAUUCAUUGUUGUGAGGAGUAGUAGAGAGCUUAGGAGGAGUUACAAAGAGAGUGAGUUUGGUUAGAGGAGGAAGUUUUGUUGGUUUUUCAGAAAGGAUUCUAGCUUGAGUGAGAGCCAUUCUAGAGAGGGUUAGAGAGGAGAAAGGUGUGUUUUGAGCAGCAAAGACACGAAGCAAAAUAGAGCAGCCAGGAAAGAGAAGCAGAAAAUCAAAAUUACUAAAAAAUUAGUGAAAGCUGUGAAAUUUCAUAUUGUUACUAAUUAUUAUAAUUUUUUUUUGUAUUUUCAAUAUUUCAACCAAUAUUUUAUAUAAUUAAAUUUAAAUUAUAAGAAUUAUAUUAUUAAUACACAUAACUAUCUUAAUGUUUUAACAAUGUAUACUUAUUUAAAUUUAUUUCAAUUUUUUUAUUUUUUUAUAAAUAUCUAAUUAGACUUAUAAUUCAUUGAAAUUAUUCAUUUUUUUUUUACUUCAUAAACCAAUUAUAUUACUUUUUGUAUUUUCAAUAUUCAUUUGGAAAAAAUAAUUUCAAUUUAAAAUAAAAUAAAUUAAUUAACUCUCAAUUUAUAAAUUGUGUCAUUGAAUUAUUUUUUAUUUAUAAUAUUUAGUUUAUUUUAAAUUUAAUUUUUUUUCUUCACCUUUUGGUUUAUCACUUUAUAUUAAAAAAUAAAAUAAAAUUGAAUUUCUUUUAAUUUAUAUUUUCACAAAUUAUUCAAUAUUUUUUUAAUUUUUAUAAAAUAAAUCCUCAGAUUAUAUAAUUGGAUGUUGUAAAGAGUUAAAAUUUUUGUGUUGCAUUGAAUUAUUUUUUCUAACAAAAGUAUAUUUGGGUACCGUAGACAUUAUAUCCAUAUCUUAACGUAUUAUAUACUUUUAUUUUGUGCAAUUAGCAAUUGAGCGGAAGACGCGGAGCCGGCUAACGGAAAUACCGCGUGUCACGCGUGUCCCUUCCCGUACCAAGUCUCAACUGCUUCAAGAUUUCCGACGCGCCCUUCUUCGCUUAACUCUUAAGUCUUUUCUUCCACUCUUCCUUAAACCCAUCACAUUUCGCCGCGUGGACCUAAGUCUCAAUGUCCUUGUGUUCAUACGAUGUAUGUUCCCCCAAUUCCUCAUCUACACUGAAACUCCAUACUCGCCUACUCAAUCACUUCUCUACUCUAGAGUCUGGAUGCUUAUCUCUGCGCGUGUCGAUGGCUCUUCACCCCAGCGAGUAUGGCAUUACAAGGGCAAUAUCGUCAUUAAAGACACAACAGAGUGUCUAUUUUAUUUAAGCUGUACGUAAUCGUGAUUGACUUCUUAGUAUCCUUUUGCUCCUAGUCUUCUCCCGCGUCUCUUAUAAAAACUAAAGAAAACCACUCCAAGAGAGCACACUACAAGAAUCUUCUUCCUUUUUUUCUUUCCUCUUUCUCUUUACAGAUAAACUGAGAAAGCCCAGCUCAUCCCUCAAUUCCCAGAUGGGUUUCAUGAAUGUUCUCAAGUUCUCAGCUGCAUGCUUUGAUCUUCUUGGCUGGUAUGUUGUCCACGCGUUUUCUUGCCAUUGGAAAUUUUUGGGAAAUGAAGUGGAAUUCUCUGUUUGAGGACAAACAUGGGAUUUUCUUUGAUUUCUCCCUGUUGGUUUUAUCUAUAUUCUUUGAAUUACCCACAUUCUUGUCAUUGAUUGUUAGUCAUUUGUUUGGAUUUCUACUUGCAGGCCUCUAUGUGCACUGGGUUAUCCUCUGUAAGUCUUGGUCUUACACCUCAAGAUAUGAUGAUUCAUUUACUCUUUUCUUGUUCUACGAAUGGUUCAGUUACAUUUAUUGUGUUGGGAAACUGAAAAGGAAAAGGAUUAUUAGUUAUUAUCGUAAUAAUCAUCAACAUCAUCUCGGUUCUUCACAGAUGUGCUUCAAUUCGGGCAAUUGAGACUAACUCAAUCUCAGACUUUCGGAAGUUGGUGGCGUAUUGGGUUCUAUUUUCCUUGAUUUCACUCUUUGAUCAUGCUUUUUCCAAGCUCCUUGAAUGGUAAUUUUGCUCAACUGCAUUCCACUAUAUGUGACUCUGUUUGUUUCAUUUCUUUGCCCUUAAGGAAUUUGGAGUUGCUUUUUUCAGUUUUCUUUCCUAUGAAAAUAAUCGAGAGGUCUCCAUGUAUUUUAUAUUCCUUCAUUUCUCUGCUUUGACAAAGGCCCACAUUCUGAUCAGCAGAAAGGUUAUAACAUUUGAAAAAGAAGUGCUUUAUUUUUGUUUUUUGUUAGUACAAUAAUUUUCGUUUGGAUAAAUGGUCUGAAGGGUGUUUGUGUUUGGCUGAGUUCAUGGAAUUUUCUAGCUAAUUUGGGAUUUAUUCUCAAUUUCAAGAUCAUUGUGGAUAUGUCAGAAAUUAAUGAAAUAUAAACGGUGGAAUGUGAUUUUCUUGUUUAAGAAAAGUUUUUCUUUGAAAAUACGGGUGCACCUGACCUACCUUAUUGUGCUACUUGGAACACAAAACAUUAGUACAGGUAAUUUAUUAACUAAAUUGUACACUUUUUGAUAGUUCAAGGAGGUGGUUUUCUUCUUUUAGGGUGUCAGCUUUGGAAAUAGGAUGGAUCUAAAAGUUUUUAUGUCUCAUCUUUAUAGGGAACUUGAAAGCAUGGAUGCACUUAUUUCCAUGGAAUUUGGCUUCCUUGAAAUCAAAUUAAGCUUUAUGCAUCAUUUGGAUGCUGAGAAACAAAUGGAAAUAGAAAAUUCAGAAUCUGACAAGUUUUUGUAGGGCAACUGGAUCUAAUCUCUUAGUCGAAGCCUAAUUGGGGCAAAUGCUGAUCAUCUUUGGACCCCAUUGAAAGCUCUAAUCUGUGCACAAUUCUAAUGUUUUUGUUUUCUUCAUUUCUUUUUCAACUUUUCACAAUAGAUGUCAAAGGUUAAAACCAAAUUUACGCAGUCCAUCCAAGUGGAUGCAUAUAAAUUUAACAGAAACUGAAAUUCGAAGAAAUUUAUUUUCCCUUUUGUAAAUGGUGUUUAAAUAUUUUAUUUUCUUAUAUAAUGCAUGUCAGGGUACCAUUCUGGCCUUACAUAAAGCUGAUGGUCAUCUGCUGGCUGGUGAUACAGCAGUUUGAUGGUUCAUAUUAUGUCUAUCAACACCUAGUUCAGCCAUGCUUGUCCAUGGAUCCACAAGCUGUCAUGAACUGGCUCUUCAAUGAAUCAAAAAAGAAGUUUCAUAGCAGAGAAAACUUUCUUGUUUCAGCAGACCGAUAUAUUAAGGAGAAUGGACCUGAAGCUUUGGAGAAACUACUUUCUAGGAAGGUAUGCCAUUAUAAGUAGGAUUAUCAACAAGUCAAACAGAGUUUUAUUUGAGAUGUUCAGGUAAAAAAUGACUAUAGUAGGUCAUCUAGAAUCAUUUGGUCUAAAUUCAUGUAUAUAUCUAUAUAUAAUUGUGUUCUCUUUUUUUCACAUAUGCAUGUGCAUUUAGAUUUACAUAAUUAUAUAUGCAUAAUCAGAUUCAACUGUGAUAGCCCGGAAUUAUUUCAGUAAUCAACUCUUCUGGGAACAUGUUGGUUAUGGUUUCUCUCUCACUGUCCUCUUCUUUAUACAUGACUUUGGCUUCAGUUGAGGAGCGCAAAGCCUAAUGUUGAAGUGAAAAAGAUCAAAGCACCUGCAGCACCGGAGAAAAAAGGGGAACAGGUAAGUUCUCUAAUGUGACUAUUUAAUUUCUAUGAGGCAGAUCCCCAGAGAAAUGUUGCUCAUGUAAAUUACUGAUGCAUUUGAUUCAAUGGCAUGGUUUUAAAAGAAAAACCACUUUAUGUAUGUUUCUGUGAAUAAGAGAACAAGUUUAUGGAUUAAAUGAUAUUUUUUAUGGUGGAUUAAUCAAUAAUUUUCAAAAUAAUAAUAUAUUCGUGCAUGUUUUUGCAAUUCAUGAAUUCCUUUUAUGAUUGAUUCUUCUUGCCUUUUUUCUCACCUCAGUGGAAGUGUGAAGAGCCUAAUGUUGCUCAAAAGGAGAUCCAAGUUGUCAAAGUAACAGAGAUAAAAAAUGGGGGGGAUGGAGCAAAGAGGGUAAGUUUUGCUUUUUAUUUAUAAAGUAGGCUGUCUUCACACAAGGAUUAUUAUCUUUAAGACAUGAAUGUUGAAUGCUUUUGGAAUUGUCCAUGAAUCAUGUGUAGUGUGAAUGGCCUAAUGCUGCUAAGAAGGAGGUCAAAGUGACAGAAGUAACACACAGAACAUUCGGUGGUACAGCACAGUGGGUAAGGUUUCAUGUCAUAUUUAAAUGGCUCCUCAUAUUUCACUAGGAUUAAUUUUGCCCCUACAAACAUAUUUGGCUACAAGUUAAGACAGAGUUCCAGAUGCUGAUAAAGUUGAGACAUAAGUAAUGAAUGAGUUUAGAAACAUGCACAACUCUUGUGUGAAACACAAUGAGAGUGGAAAAUAGCUAAGUUGAAAAAUGGCCAAAUACUAUUUUGUAGUUCCCCCUACCACUUAAGUAAUUUUUGUCAUCCUUUGUGAAUGGAAAAUCCAGUCCCUUCAGUAAUUCCGUUAUAUUCAUGACUUGGUGAAGCAUAUAACCAUUAGUGUCUUGCCUUAAGUCGACCUUUAAUGAUGAUCCAUUGAGAUGGGUCUGACUUUUGUCAACCCUCUUAUUCCCUUGAUCAUAGAGGUUAAACUUAGGGGGCUUAACCCACUUUUGAACCUUAUUGGAUAUAUGGCACAUGGUAUCCUCUUCAUCUUGAAAGAGUGAAGUGGUCAUACUCUUUCCUCUGAGUCCAUUGUGGCCAUGCACUUCUGGCCCAUUGGGCUGAGUGAAAGGAUUCCCUUCUGCUUCAAAUCAUAGAGAGAUAUGCCAUGGUCAGCCUCUUUAAUUCAAGGGAUCGAAGUACUCAAAUCCAUUUCUCUGCAUCCAUCUUAAUUCUGCAUUCAUGUCUCAUGGUUAACCAAGAAGAUCCAGCUUCCAUCCAUGAGAUCAGCAUCUGCAGGUUUAUGACACCACCCUUCCUUGGCAUAGGAAAGGGAUCAUUAAGCCAUGUGUUGGAUGACAGAAGUCAUCAUUCAGGUUAUCUUGAGAACUAAGGAAGUUGGAAUUCUAAUUAUUGCAUAUGGUUCUUGAUGUUUAGCCAAUAUACCGUAGGAUUUUAAGGAUCAUGCUCAUGUGCAUUGUGGUUGUUUAUCAGCUAUAUGGUUUACCAAAAUGAGGGACUGAUUAUGGUCAUAAGUACCUUUUUCCUAUUAAUUUCUUGCAUGUGCUCUGCUGAGAUUAUGUUUUUGACAGUCCAAAUCAGGGCAAACCAACAAACAGCUUUAUGUUAACUUUUACAAACUGCCACAUUUUCAGGUUAAACGAACAGAGAUAAAUCUUGGUGAAACUAGAAGUAAUACAACUUGUGCUGUGGAGAUAAAAGAAAGGGCAGCGGCACUGGUGGCUGCAGAAAUUGAGGCAUGUAGAGACGAUAGAACCCCCAAGAUACCUCUUCAUGAGAAAGUCCAGAAAGAGUGGGCUUGUGCUGUAUGCCAGGUCACAACCCAAAGUGAAGCGACCUUCAAUUCCCACCUUCAAGGGAAGAGACAUCAGGCCACUUCUGAGCAGCUGAGAGCCAAAAACCAGGCAACCAAAACCAAUUGUUCCCCAUCUGCUUCAAUGGCCAAGAAAUCUGAUCAGUCCACCAAAGAGGAGCAACCGAAGUGUACUUCCAACAAUCUGAAUUCCAAAAACAAUGGAAUCUCAGCUGCUUCAACAGUGAAGAAACCUGAUGACACCAAAGAUGAUGAGCGACAAAAGUCUGCAUCUAGCAAUGAACCGAACCAGAAGAAUAACAAAAAGCAAGAGGUACAGACCAAUGAGCAAGGCCAUCAGAAGAACUUAAAGCAAACUGGCGAUGGAAUGAAAGAGUUGAGAUUAUGCUGCAAUAUCUGUAAUGUAAGCUGCACAAGUGAGCUUGACAUGGCCUCUCAUCUCAAUGGAUGGAGGCACUUUAAUAUGAUAAAGGAGGCGUCUGAAUUAUGGUGCAGUAACUGCAAUGUAAGGUGCAACAGUGAGGCUGUCAUGGCCUCUCACCGAAAUGGGAGGAGGCACUUGAAGCAGCUGAAGGAACGGUCGGGAUUAUAGUGCAGUAUCUGUAGCGUGAGAUUGUGUUAGGAAGAGGUGGAAUGGGUUCCAAUCAGGAAUUAAGACUCGGUUCCAAGACAUGGAAAGUGUCUUUAGAUUAUGUUAUCUCCAUUUUUUUUAUUGUGAGAGGGGAGUAUAAGGAAUGAAAAUAAAUAUAUAUAUAUUUUUUAAUAGAGAUGAAUUUGAUAAUUUUAAUUAUUGUGUUUUGAUGUAUUUAGGAAUGUAAAAUUAAAAUAAUUAUUUAUUUUCAUUUUAGUAUUUGACAAUAAUAAAAUUAUGAAUUAAAAAAUAAUGUGAUAAUAAUACAUUUAUAUUUAAUUUAAAAUAUUUUUUAUUUUAUUUUAGAAGAAUAUGGGUUAAAUUCUUUUUUUAAAUAAUAAGCUUAAGAAAAAUAAUUUUUACUCAAUAAAUAAAAUUAAUCAUAAAAAGUCAUAACAACCUAAUAAAAAUAUAGGGGUAAAAUAAUAAUUUUAAAAUAUUAUUUAAGUUAUCCAAACAAAUUUGACUCUUCAUUCUCUCUCUUGAACCAAAUACGGUCUUUUAAGCGUUUGUCAACUUAUUUUUUUUUGCAAAAUAUCAAUAUUUUACUAAUAUUUUUAUCGAUUAUUUGCCAAUAUUUAUCGCCACGUCACCAAUUCUUUGAGUUUGACUUUCAAAAUUUUGAAAUGAUAUUUGAAGUCCAGUUCAGCCCAAAUCACUACACCCAUGAUUUUUCCCUUUUCUUUUUCUCCUUAAUUUUCACAUCACCCAACAACACUACUCUUAAUUCACACAAAUUUGAAGGUUUGGAACGAGACUUCUUCCUAAUUAUAUUGUAAUUAUGUUAUAAUAACCAUGUCGUAUUUGGAUUUAUUUAUUCAGUCCAUCUAAAUCUUUUGUUUAUUCAUGUAAAAAGAAUAUAGUUAUAAUCGAAUCCAUUUGUGACAUAUUCAUCUUUUAUAAAUUUAUUAAUUUUAUAUAUUUAAAAACUAUAAAAAUUAAAUAUAUUUUUUCAAUUAUGAAUAUCAUAUUACUAAAAUAUUAAAUAACUAAUUAACUUGAAAUGUUUUAUAUUUCAUUCAUUAUUUUAUAAUUACAACAUUAAGUGAAAUAAUAAAUAGGUUAAAAUAUAUAUUUUAUUUUAGUUAAAAAUUAUAAAUUGUUAUUGAGACGUAUAACUAUUAAAAUUCUACCCAUUUGACCAUCAAACAAACAACUUAAGUUUUUAGUCAUAAUUUAAGCUUCUGAUAAACUCUAUUUCCAUAAAUUAGAAACCGAAAUCAAUUUCUUCUUAGACUCAAAAACAUAAAGACAAUCUUUUAAUUCUAGAAGACAUCUAUCAUUUAAGAUAAGGGUAACAUAUCCCAUUGCCUAAACAACAACUCUUGCUUCAAAAGCCAAUGUCAAGUACAUAUCCCUAUCAUUCAACCUUUCCCUUAGCUAAAACCCCUAUAAAGAAUUAUAAACAUAAUCAAUGGCUCCAAAAUUUAUCCACCAAGAGUUAGUGGAAUCCAACACUAAACAUAAUUCAACUAUAAGAGAAUGAUGCAUAGUUGACUAUCUCUUCAAGAACUAAGGACAUUCCUUCUUCUUCUAAUGGCAUUUUUUACCACAAAGGAAACACUUGUCAUGACCCUUACUCUUCUUCUUCUUCCCCUUAGCCUUAAACUUCCCCUUCUGCUUGAUGAACUCUAUAGUGUUCUUCUUAUUUUGGCUAGAAAAACCUAAAGAACCCUUAACUGCCAUAUAAAUACCUCUCUGGUCCUUGAGAAUUCCCUCAGUCAUUUUGUGUUCUCUCAUUAGUUCAAUUGUAGUUUAAGAAAAAUAAUGUUUUUUAUUUUAUUUUAUGUGAUUGAACUUGGAAUGAAUUUCCAAGUUGCAUACAUACUUGGGUUGAGAUCAAGUCAUAACGUAGUUUAAGAAAAAGAUUUUUUAUUUUUUAUGUGAUUGAACUUGGAAUGAAUCUCUAAGCUACCUACGUAUCCAAGAUGGGAUCAAGUUCUAACAUAGUCACAAUGCAGUUCAAGAUUUUUUUUUUUCUUUUUUUGUGCUCUAACUUUUGUCAAGACUAAAGAUCUUAAUCUUGCAAGCAUGUCCUAACUUUUGUCUAGGUCACCUUUCCAAGUUUUCAACUUAGCAAACAUUUUUUUUUUUUGUUCUCUAACGUUUGCCAAGACAAAAGAUUUUAAUCUUGCAAGCAUGUCAUAACUUUUACCUAAGUCAGAUUUUUAGGUUUUCAAUGUGGUGGAUUUUUUUGUUUUUUAUUUUUUAUUUUUUAUUUUUUGUGUCGUAGGCAAUUUAGCUCAUACGGCCCAGAAGCGAUGUGUAGUUUGUUGGGAUUCAACCCUUAAAAGCAAAACAUGAUGUAACAAAGUUAGACUUAACUAUCCCCUUGCUAUCAUUUUGGUGUAUUAACAUUGAUUUAAACAUUCAACUCAUAUUUUACAUUGUACAUGACUUAGGUGCAUUAGGAGUUGCUCAUAAGAUACAUGGAUUCCUUGUAAGUAGAUGAGUUAUCCAUAGUCAGUUCAUGGAUUUGGGCAAUCUAGUAGAGACUGUAAUGCACCACCUCUUAAUUGAAGAGAUGACUUGUCUUGACAGUUGGGAUAGGUUUCCUAUGGUGAGUGCACUAGUAUAUAUGAUGCACAUUGGAUAGGACCUACGGUAAAUCAUGAGCAAAGCUAUCAAUUGUCAUGAUUCACCAAGUUACGAUACUGCAUGGACUCUCAAUCUUGAGAGGACAUUGAACCUGUGCCAAAAUCAACAAAAAGCUUUCACCUAUAGAUGAGACCUUAAAGUGAUCAUAUAUCCCUAUGGAUUGAGUCACUAUUGAUGAAGGUUGGUGGUAAUAGGUAUUCUCAAUAGAGGCACCAUGAUAUCUCAUGAGAUUGAGACGGUGUGUCCCCUUGGGUGAUACAAAGGACAUGUGAUCAUAAAAUCUGUGACCAUAGUAAUUCUUUUAUUGAAAUUUGACAUAUACCCCUUCGAGCUAGAGUAUGUCAGUUGAUUACAUAAUAAGUGGCAUCUAUAACUUAAGGAUUUGAGAGGUAAUCUUGAUAGGUGAUAGCACUACCUUGUUAGAUUAUGGACACCAGUUCAUGGGGAAUCUACAUGCAGUGGAUGAUAUGUCACGAACGCGAGCUUCAUAUCGUUGUUAUUAACAUAGGAUACUGGAGUGCAAUUGAUUCUCUUUAGUAGAAUGUUGAAUCAACUUCAAAAUGGAUUAUGAGGGAGCCAAUACUCCUAUGGGUCUUAAUGGUCCCCACUCUGAGCUCAUAUACCAUGAUGACACAGUUUAUGAGGGUUUGAUUGGCUUUAUGUUCAUUUUUGUGCAUAAGGGCAUUUUGGUAAUUACACAAGGUUACAUAGGGGAUAGUCAAUAAGGUCUUUAGAUUGGGCCAAUUGAUUAAUUAGAUGACCUUAUGUGGUUAAUUAAUCAAUUAUGAUAUGUUUAGGCUAGAUUAAAUGACCCAAGCCUUGAUGAAUUUAAGUCACUUAAGCCUAGCAGAUAACCUUAUAAAUACCCUCUUAUGGGUUAGGGUUUCCUAAUGACUUUCAGUUAAUCAUCUUCCAUCCCUAGAAAGAGAAAGAGAGCCAAAUCUUUCUCCCUUCCAUUGCCCACACUUUGGUAUGCCAAGAUCAUGGUUCAAGUCACUGGGAGGAAGAUCUUGGGUGUACAAGACCUUCGGACUCUUUAAGUUUCUUCUUCGUUGGAUGAAUUUUUAUUUGGGACACAUCUAGAUCAUAAGUAUGUGUUAGAAAAUUUGGCUAAUUCAACUUAAGGUAAUCACUCUAGAGGAGGGGUGAAUAGGGUGAUGAUCUUUUUUUACAAAUUUAAAUUAUGUGAAUGCAAGAGACAAUUAUACUAUGCAAAUAUAUAGUAAAACCAUAUAAAAAUAAUUGCAUAUAAAGUACAAGGGUAGAAAAUAGAGAAUAUAAACACAAGAUUUUUAUAGUGGUUUGGUGCAACUCGGCCUACAUCCAUUCUCCUCUAGCUUCAAUCCCAAGUUUGAGGUUCCACUAAUUCAAGGCUUCCAACCUAACCCUUCAAGCAAUACAAUUGGAUUAUGGUUCCAAUCAAACCUUUUGGACUUUUGGCUCUAAGCACCUUUUACAAUCUUUGAUUCGUGCCUAACUGGUGUUUGCCCUGUUGAUUGGUGUUCAAUCAACUGAUGUGCUUUGAUUUCAGUCCUCAGACGAGAGUAAUCAACAAAAUUUAUAAACCUAUUUCACCAUAUACUAGGGUAGCAUUAGCUAGCAUAGCAUAGUGGCUCUAGGAUCGUCCACAGGGAUGGGUUUUCAAAUUACAAUUGAUAUUAGUUCAAAAACUGAAUUGGUGUUUUUUCUUUUCAAGGUUAGCUUUAAAAGAAAACAUAAGUAUGUGUGAAAAGGUUGGUUUUAAGUGAAACCAAAAAUAAAGUAACUGAAAUUACUUACAAAGAAAAGUGCUUCUUGGAGUUUUAGAUCACUAGGCUCAAGUUCCUUAUACAAAAAGAGAGAUUCCGAUCACUUGGAUCUUUUCCUAGCAUUGGGGAUUUAACAUAUAGUUAUUUCCCGAACCGGUGCGGUACAGAUGCUUCCCCUUAAUGGUUUCAAACACUAAAUCUCUAUCACUGAAUCAUCUUGUAAUGGUUCAUACCUCUCACCUGGUAUUGGUCAUUUAAGGUGAUCAUUAACCUUGGAUUACCCGUCAAAAGCUCGCAAAAGAUAACUAAUGAAUGUCUCCUAGGAGUCCAAAAGCUUACCAAGUGUUGGCUAUUCUAGAUAAUCCUACCUUUAAACCAUCUCCCAAAAGCUCGCAAGAGAUAAACUAGUGGAUCUCAAUGGACGGAGUCCACUUGCCUUACCAAGUGUUGGCCCAAGUGAUUUUAAGGGAUUUUAAGUUAACUAAAAAGAUAAAAACCAUUAACGGGUCACACUUUCUCUUCAUUAAAACCUGAAACAAUGAAACUUCCACUUUUGUAUACGAAACCUUACCUAGCUUCCUUCACUCCAAGAAACAAAAAGCCUAGCCACUCAUCCUCUAGGAAAACAUCCUCAGAGUUUGAUUUGGUAGAAAUAAAAAUAAAAGAGAAAACCAAAUGUGAAGGUAAGGCCGAGCAGAGCUCUGUGUAUUACUUUAUGAAAAACUAUACAAAAUUUGUCUCUAAGAGAAACUCCCCCGAGAUCUCUUUUAAAAGAAAAUUACAAUAGAUAUCAUAUAAAGAGGCUAUUCACCCCUCUUGCUAACUUCCCAACCAUGAAAACUUGUCAAUGGUGGGUUACAAGGAGAAAAUAGGGAUUUACACACAAAUAUUUGAAGAUAAACAUCAAACUGAGUCGGUGCGCAAAUAUCUCAGAUUACAAGUGGAUUUCGCAAGUUCAAACGCAACUUGCAAAAAUUUUGCAAGUUGAAAUUAUGGUUUCGCAAGUUGCGAAAUUGUCCUGCAACUAAUCAGCUCUCUGUCCUACAACAAUUCCUUUCCUCUUCCUAUUUCGCAAGUUGUGAGAAUUUCGCAAGUUGGAUUCCACAACUUGCAAAAUUGUUGGAUGGUUGAUUUCUUUUGUGAUUUUCUUCCUUGCAUCCUCAUUUGGCUUUGGCAAAGGGUUAUGAAGCUCCAAAGCUUAGUUUCUUCAUGAAUUUGAGCUUCAACUUGCUUUGCCAUGAACUAUACAAAGAUCUCCCUCAUUCUUGGAUUGCUUUGGUGAUAAAAAAGCUAUGAAAAACACCAAAACUUAACACAAUUUGAUUAGAAACGAUUGUAAGGGUCUUUAACAUGCCAAUUGAGUUAAAAGGUAAUAGCUACUACUCAAAAGUGUUUAAAAGAGUUAAUUACAAGCUAUAAAAUGACCCUUUUUGAAGUUCAACCCCUUAAGUGAUACCCCUUAAGUGAUACCCCUUAAUUCAAGAGAUGUCUUACUCUUAAACAACCCCUUAAGUGAUACCCCAUACUUGAGAUUCCCUAAGUGAUGCCUCACACUUAGAUUUUUCAUCUCAAAGAUUUACAAAUGAAGAUAGGAAAUAAUCUCACAAAAUCUUAAUACAAAACAUUAGGCUCAAAUGAUACAAGAUAAACUAUGAUUGAAUGGUGCACUAAUAAUAUGCAAGUUUUAAAACAAUGAGUACUAAAAAACACUCUCCUAAGGUUCAAAUAUAUUCAAGAAAGAUUUAAGAAGGUUAAACUCUUGAAACAAUAAAGAUUGAAACCUUUUUAUGGAGGAGAAAUGCCAAACUAGUUGUUGGGGGUUUGUCCAGUCGAGUUCUGGUUUGACCGGUUCACUAACCGUUAGCAUUUAAUGCAUGAUAGGUGAUCAUUGGGCCUUGACCAUCCCUCGACCAGUACUCAACCGGAUAAAGUUCAACCUUAAUCAAUCGAAUAAGCAUUCUAGAAUAGAGAGAAGGUUUUUGCACCUUUCAAUCAGUUGAGUUGAACAAAUAGACGGAUUCCUUAUCCAGUUCAACCGGUUGAGCCAUUUUUGGCUCAACAAUCAUCAUUUUCAACUUAAAACCUUUUAAACAAGUUUAGAAAGCAUUUGACACAAGGAUUUAGUUGAAAACAUUAAAUCAUCCUAUUUUUAAAAGAUUUAAAACAAAAUACCUCUUGAAUGAUUUUGGUGUAUAAGUAAAUAAUGUAAUGCAUGAAAAACCCAGUGCGCCAACAACCUUACAAAGAGAUCUUAUGAGGCUUAGGUAUUGAAAAACACUUCUCUUUAAGGCAGACAACAUCGUGUGAAUACCAAAGGGGAACUCUACGUUCCUAGGGAAAGAUGCCUCGUCAGUACGUCUUGAGGUUGUUCACUAACUUCGGGGUUACCGGCUUUGAGAGGAGCCCUUUGAUGACAUUUGGGCAUGCAACUCUUCAUUUUCUUCCUUGAUUCGCCUUGUUUGGUGGAUCAAAGAUUGCAUAUGCCAGUCAUUUUUGCACUAGGUUCUCUCCAUGCUUUCACGCCAGCCAAAGUAGCUUUCGUUACCCAUAGUUGAGGAUCGGCUUCUAAAGGGUACUAACAUCCUUAGUCAUUCCCACAGAUGACACCAAUGUUGGUUCUGAGUCGGCUGAAGUCAAAUUCAUCCAACUUAACGGAAGUUUGACAACCUUCCUCCAUUUUUUGUGCCUCUUAGAGAAUCCACCUAGCAGUAAUGAGAUUGGGCGAACUCCUUUCUUGCACAAAAGAAUGUUCAGAUGAGUACUUCGGGUACGCCCUUCGAAGCUUAAGUGAGGCAAAAAUAGCUCAAACUACUUAAUGAGAGAGAGUGGAUAGGUGAAUAUGUGCCUACCUUGUUCGUGCUUUUUGAGGGGUUUAUAUAAUGUUGAUGAGAAUGCCACUAUAGUGCUUACUAGACACUUUAACUUUCUUCUAUAAUGAUGAUUGUCUUGCAGGCGGUUGGGCAAUCAUCAAAAUUUUGGGUGGCUGAUAGGUGCCAUCAACUAACGUGCCAUGAUCUUAGACCAUGCAGUAACCUGUUCCCUCAGUCUGUUGAUGGCCUAAGGUUAUGUGCAACAAUUAAUUGACAUGGACUUGAGGGCUAGAAGAGGUCCCAUCGGCCGUUCACAUGUCAAGUGUGAAUGAUCACUCAUGCUAGUGGGUCUUGAAGAUUUGACUAGACAACCUUACCUAUUUGGGAGGUCCAACCUCCCAUUGCCGUUGUUUUGGCCUUAUAGGAGAAAAGGGCUUUCUCAUGUAUGGUGCUAGAGGGACUAGUCGUGAUCCAGAUGAGUUGCAUACCCAUGCUAGAUGGUCGAAGUGUCCGGGUUGGAAAUGGAGGGAAGCCUCCCACAAAUAUGAGGGAGCCUUAUGAAAACGGAUCCUUAGGGCUUAAGAAGGGGUUUUCAAUUUUAAGGUUUGCCUUUUCACCCAAGGAUGUGAAUGGGAAGAUGAGGCGAAGUUAAAAGAUUGGUGAAGCAAAGUGAGGGCAAGGUAGGGUUUGAAUAAAGGAAAGUAUACACUAUUAAUGAAGAUGAUAAUCUCUAGAAAGAAAAACUAAGGUAAACUAGGGCUUUAAUAAUAAUUUUCAAUCUACACUAGUGAAGAGGAUAUCUUCGAAAACCAAAGUUAGGGCUUCAAUAACGAAUUUCAAUCUACAAUGGUGAAGACAAUAAUCUUCGAAAACCAAAUCUAUAAUGAUGAAGAUGAUUGAAAACUAAAUCUAUACUAGUGAAGACGAUUGGAAAGCAAAUCUACACUGGUGAAGACAAUGAAACCAAAUGUAGGUCUUCUAAACUAAACGCUUUUAAGGAUUUUCCUUUUUUUUUUCCUUUGUUUUCAAGAAAGGCAAACUCUUUAGAAAACUAAAAAAACUAAUGCAUUCUUAGAUCCAGAUCACUAUUUCCAACAUGGUAUUUGGAUUGCCAGCUUGCAUUUUUUAUUUUUUUAUUUUUUUAAUAGUCAUUGGCAUUUUAGGGAUUAUUGAAGGAUAAUAUCAUUCAGCUCAAUUUCCCAAAUUAGUUAGGUCUUACACUCAAAUGUGAAACUUAUAUGGAUGUUAGGCCAAUUAUCAAACUCAUCUGCCCUAAAACAUAAUUUCCCUUUUUUAAAAUAGUUGUUAAACAUCUAUCCCAAACACGUUUAACCCUUUGAAUUGCUUGUAUGUUAACCUUGUUUCCUUUUCUUCAUGCAACAUGGCUUAUUGAUGGUUGCAUUGAAUCAUUAUCAUUCACCAAUUCCAUGCAACUAUGGACUACAUUUCAAAUCCCUCGAACAUAAAUGGUAAUUCCAAAACAACUCAAGUAUAAUCUUUUCAACCCUUUCAAAUGAUUUAAUUAAUUGAUUUUUGAAUAUAUUCAUAUAUUUUUUUGAGCAAUUUUUAGGCAUAUAACAUAAAUCUCUUUUUUAUAUAUAUAUAAAAGGUUUUAUAUUUUAUAUUACAAUUUCCUUUUGUUUUUUCAUCUAAAAAACAAAACAUAAAACCUUAAUAAACGAGUUUUGUCACAAUCCCUUAACAAGUAAUCUAUUUUUUAAAUUACUUUAACAUUUUUAGAUAUAUUGAUUCAAUCUAAUUUACUUUUAAUAUUUUUUAUAAAAUAUUUUUACUUUAUAUGACUAUAAAUUAAUUACUAUUGAUUGCAUAUUAUAGAAUAUAUAUUCUAAAAUAUAUCUUAUUGACAAUAUAAUCAUAAGAUGUUAUAUCCAUAUCCUAACAUAUUAUAUACUUUUAUUUUGUGCAAUUAGCAACAUGGUGGGAAGUGGCAAGCAGCUUAACGGAAAUGUCAUGUGCCAAUGUGCCAUGCGUGUCCCUUCCCUUAGUGAGUCUGAACUGCUCCAACAUUUCCGACAUGUUAUUUUUUACUUAGCUCUUAAGUAUUUUCGUCUCGUUUUCGUUAACCCCAUCACAUUUCGCCACAUGGAUCUAAGCCUCAUGGUCCUUUCGUUCGUACAAUGAAUGUUCCCCCAAUUCCUUAUCUACACUAAAACUCCAUACUCGCCAUCUACUCAACCACUUCUCUACUCUAGAGUUUGGGUCCUUUAUCUCUGCACGUGUCUAUGGCUUUUCACCCCAACAAGUAUGGCAUUACAAGGGCAAUAUCGUCAUUAAAGACCCAAAAGGGAAACCAAUGGCAUUAUCUUCCUUUUGGUCUAUUCUAUUUAUAUUGUAAGUUAUUCGUGAUGACUUCUCCCAUAAAAGCUAAAAACCACUCCAAUAGAGCACACUUCACUUCUUCAUUUUUUUUUUUCCAGAUAAGCUCAGAAAGCCCAGCUCAUCCCUCAACUCCCCGAUGGGUUUGAUGAAUGUUCUUAAAUUCUCAACUGCAUGCUUUGAUCUUCUUAUCUGGUAUAUUGUCCACGCAUUUUCUUGUCAUUGGAAAAUUUUGGAAAAUGAAAUGGAAUUCUAUGUUUGAUGACAAAACUGGGAUUUGCUUUGAUUUCUCCAUGUUGGUUUUAUCCCUUUUGUUUGAAUUGUCCACAUUCUUGUCAUUGGUUGUUAGUUAUUUGUUUGGAUUUCUACUUGUAGGCCUCUGUUUGCACUGGGUUAUCCUCUAUAAAUCUUGGUCUUACACACCAAGAUAUGAUGAUUCAUUUACUCUUUUCUUGUUCUAUGAAUUCUUAGUUCUGUUACAUUUAUUGGGUUGGAAAACUGAAAAAGGAAAGGAUUAUUCGUUAUUAUCAUAAUAAUCAUCAACGUCAUCUCAAUUAUUCACAGAUGUGCAUCAAUUCAGGUAAUUGAGACUAACUCGAUCUCAGACAUUCAGAAGUUGGUGGCAUAUUGGGUUCUAUUUUCCUUGAUUUCACUUUUUGAUCGUACUUUUUCCAAGCUCCUUGAAUGGUAAUUUUGUUCAACUUCAUUCCAUCAUAUGUGGCUCUAUUUGUUUCAUUUCUUUGCCCUUCAGGAAUUUGGAGUUGCCUUUUUUAGUUUUCUUCCCUGUGAAAAUAAUCGAGAUGUUUAAUGUUCCAAGCCUCCAUGUAUUUUAUUUUCCUUCAUUUCUCUGCUUUGAUAAAUCCCCAUGAUUUGAUCAGCAAAAAGGCUAUAACAUUUGACAAAGAAAUGCUUUAUUUUGGUUUUUUAAGUACAACAAUUUUCAUUUGGAGAAAUGGUCUAAAGGGUAUCGGUGUUUGGAUGAAUCAUGGAAUUUUCUCGCUAAUUUGGGAUUUAUUCUCAAUUUCAAUAUCAUUGUGGAUAUUUCAAAAAUUAAUGAAAUAUAUAUGAUGGAAUGUGAUUUUCUUGUUUAAGAAAAGUUUUUCUUUAAAAAUUUAGGUAACCCUGACCUACCUUAUUGUGCUACUCGAAACACAAAACAAAAGUACAAGUAAUUUAGUAACUAAAUUGCACACUUUUUGAUAGUUCAAGGAAGUGGUGUUAGCUUUGGAAAUAAGAUGGAUCUACUAGUUUUUAUUUCUCAUCUUUAUAGGGAACUUUCCAUAAUAUAGCUUAUAAAUACCAUAAUCACAGUGAUGAAUAAUUGUCUUGUUUGAAAGCAUGGUUGCACUUAUUUGCAUGGAAUUUGUCUGCGUUGAAAUUAAAUUAAGCUUUAUGCAUCAUUUGGAUGCUGAGAAACAAAUGAAAAUAGAAAAUUCAAAAUUUGACAAGUUUGUGUAGGGAAAUUGGAUCUAAUCUCUUAAUCGAAGCUUAAUUAGGGCAAAUGUUGAUCCUCUUUGGACCUAUUGAAAGCUCUAAUCUGUGCACAAUUCUAAUGUUUUUGUUUCCUUAAUUUCUUUUUCAACUUUUCAACAAAGCAUCAAUUUGCUAUAAUAAAUGAGAACCAACUUGACGAUGAGAAAAAUGACUGGUGAUGAUGUCAUAGAGAAUCGCAGAUGAGAACAACCAAAAAUACUAGGAUUGGUACCACUGAUGGUAAUGAAGAAAACACAAAAAUGGUGCAAAUGGUGAACAGGAAACUCAAAAUGGAAUGGGAAAAGAAACCUAAACAAUAGUCUCCUAUAUAAAGCACACAACAUGUACAUCGAGGCAUCUGAAAGGACACGCUGCCUGAGAAGUCACUCUAAUUGAUGUGACUCCUCAUGACGUGGGUGGUGGACAUAUGUCCCAUGGUGCCAAAAAUUUCAAACACUCAAGCAACCGAAUACUUUCACUUAGUCAUUUAAAGCCUAGCUAGACUCAAUUGCAAGAAUUAAGGGCAUUGUGGGAUGCUCACCACCGUCUAUCAUGGUCCUCAAACACUGUCUGGUGUGAGACAUAUUGGCACAAGAGCCAUGUAGCUUCUCUAUCCACCCCAAGAUACUCCUAGGGUAGCAAACGAACACAAUCCGACCAAACACUAUGCAUUCCUACCCUACAAGCAUUAAUUUCAAUGAGCAAUAAGUGUAUUAACACAUUAAUGAAUGCAACCGUUAUAACGCUAAAACGCCAUACUUUAAGGUUCAUCAAGACACAACAACCAUUAUGGGCCGACAAUUAUUGGCGUUAAAUAUGGUAAUGCGCAAUCAAAGGCUCAAUUAAGGCCCUUUAGAAGACGUUACUAUUGGGCAAAGAUAAAUAACCAUUUUUUACCACAAGAAAGUCUGAUGCCAUUUUUUUCACAAAAACUUUUGCUUAAGUCUUCCAUCUCUAACCUAAGCUUUGAAGGGGUGUACUUGGAAAACCUAUCCGAACAUUCCUUUAUGUAGGUGCAAUCAUCGUUUAUGUCACGCGAAGGCUAGUCAAAGACCUUUAUUGGUCGUGCACCAAUAAAUCUAUUUAGUAUAUCUCAUUUAUCCGUUCAAGUGAGAUGAAGGAGUGACCUAAAGAUAGAUUGGAAACAUCAUAGUUUCUUAUAUUGGUAAGGCAGCAACAACCUCGGCUAGUGCAUCAACCUGCUCGUUUUCCUCUAGGGGUACGCGUUUGAUAAACCAUUCAUUCAAUUUUUCUGUUCAAGUGUACCAAAGAGAGGUAAUGAGCCAUGCAUUCAUCUCAAGCUUCAUAUUUUAGUUAGAUUUGUUCACCCACUAGUUGUGAAUUGCUUUUGAUUUCUACUUUCAUGGUUGUGAGAGCUAAGGCUAGAUCGUCUCAUAAGAAUUGCUUCAUAUUUUGCCUCAAUAUUAGAUACUGGAAAGUUGAGACAGACGACUUGUUCAAUUUGCUCUCCUGUAAGGAAUUGUUGUGUUAGUCCUAUCCUAGCUUCUGAUGUUCUAGAGGCUUCGUCUACAUGGAGAACACGCCAUUGUUCUUCAUUGUUAGACCUUGUCCAUUUUUGGGGUGGUUCGACUAUGAAAUCAAUGAGAACUUGCUAUUUGAGAUACUAAUGAGGUUUGUACCGUAUGUAAUAUUCACUCAAUUUGAUUGCCCAAUUCACCAUUCGACUAGAUAGAUUUAGCUUGUGCAACGUGACCCACAACGGUUGAUUUGUCAAGACCGUUAUUUGGUGCGCCUGAAAAUAUGGACAAAGCUUCUUGGCAGCGAUCCGUAAGUUCAGAGCCAUUUGUUCCACUUAAGAAUAUCGUGUUUUUGUGUCAAUCAUAGCUUUUCUCACAUAGUAAAUAAGUCUUUGUUCAUUACUCUAAUUGUGUGGAAACAAUAUGACAUUGACAGCAAAGUUUGACACAACCAGGUACAUGUAUAACUCUUCUCUAGCUUCAAGACUACUUAAGAUUGGUGGCUUCGUAAGAUACUGUUUGAUGUCUUUAAAGGCAUGCUCACACUCAUCCAUCUAACUAGACAUCUUUGCUCCCUAGAGUUUGCUCAAGAAAGGUCUGAGCUUAUUUAUGAAGCGUGUUAUGAACCAACCUAAGGUGAUUAGACACCCAGUUAGACGUUGCACUUCCUUCUUGCUAGUAGGAGCAGGGAUUUCUAACACUACUUUCACUUGAGCCAGAUCGACUUCAAUACCCCCUUUGAGUCACCAUGAACACAAGAAACUUCCACUCACUUACUCUAAAUGCAUAUUUUAUUGGAUUAAGCUUCAUGUCAUACCUGCACAUUAAACUGAAUGCUUCUUCCAAAUGGAGGAGCUUCUUGGAACGAGUUAUUCUCUUAAUGACAAUGUCAUCGAUAUAGACUUCCAACGUUCGACCUAUCAAGGGCUUAAAAAUAUGGGUCAUCAACUGUUGGUACGUAGCUCCAAUGUUCAUUAACCCAAGCGACAUGAUCUUGUAAAAGUACAACUCCUUAUGUGUAAUAAAUGUCAUCUUCUCUUUGUCAUGUGGAAACAUUGGUAUCUGGUGGUAUCCAAAAGAAGCAUCAAGAAAAGACAACAUUCCAUGCCUGGUUGUGGCAUCGACUAUCUAAUCUAUCUAGAGCAAUGGGAAGCUAUCUUUCAAGCAGACUUCAUUCAUAUCCACGUAGUCUGCGCACACCUGCCAUUUUUCUCCUUUCUUGGUACCACUACCACAUUUGUUAACUAGUCCAAGUAGGUCACCUCCUUGAUAAAUCUUCCUUUUAAUAGCUUCUCAACUUCUAUCUAGAUAAUUUUUUGAUGAUCCAACUAGAAACGUCAGACUUUAUAUUGUAUGGGUCGUGCUGUAGGAAGAAGGUUCAACUUAUGAGAGCUCACCGCUAGGUCUAUUCCAAGCAUUUCCGAAUGAAUCCACACGAGGAUAUCCUUGUUUUUACAAAGCAUUUCACCAACAUUACCACAUUCAUCCCUAGUUAGCAAAAAAUUAGCGUAAGUCAUCUGCUUAUUAUUUUUCGACAAAGAUAGCUAUUGUAAUAGGCUGAUUGCCAAUGAGUCUCUAUCCUCUAGUUUUCCUUCGACCUAAUUCUAUAAUUGUUAUUAGCUCUCUCUUGAUGAUUUGAGUUCAUCUUUAGUUGGGCCUGAACUCCAUCGCCACUUAGUAACACUACUAGGUGGCUAAUUGGAUUCCAUGUGGAUCCACUUACCCAAAUUCUGUCAGGUAGCUCACCAUCUUAUGAUAGGUGGAUGGAAUAACUUUCAUCUUAUGUAGGUACGACAACCUUAUGAUGGUGUUGUACGACGGUAAAUCCUCUACUAUAGAAAAUCAUACGUUGAGAGUAGGCGGGUUGGCUUGGACAAGAAGUACCACGUCGCAUAGUGAUAUUGUGGCAACCCUAUUAAACCCAAACAAAAGUCGAACUAGAUUUUCUAAGGCAGAUGACGAACAUCCCAUUUUCCUGUAGGUUGACAUAUGCAAUAAAUUGGAAUGAUCAUUUUAGGAAGGAUCACUUGAUUAAUGUUAAUUGAAGGGAAAGUGAUUGGGUCAUUGACUGGUCGGGCACUUUCGACAGUAAAUGUGCACUGAACUGCACUUACUCUUUCCCUCCCUGUAGUCGCACAGAGCAUUCGUCUCCUUUGUUGUUUGGAGUGAUAUUUGUCAUCUACUAUUUCCCCAUGGAUAUAGUUAAUCACUACUCGAUGUGUUGUGGGAGAGUCAGGAACUCACUCUGACACUUCACGUGUCAUUUCUUUAUGUCCACCAGUUGCUCAGACAUACAACUUGAGAUGUCCGGUAAUGAUUAGUUUCUCCACCAAGUAGUGCAAAUUUUUGCACUCUUCUGUGGUGUGCCCAUGCUCCUUAUGAUAGAAUCAUCGCAAUCCUCGAUCAUGCUUGGACGAAUCAGUUUUGAUGGGCUCUAGCCACUUGAACUCGAGCAGCUCUCAAAUCAAGAGGAGAAUUCUAUCAUAAAAAAUGGUCAACGGGGUGAGCCUAGGCGAUUAUCAUUGUUGUUGUCUUUCUUGUCCUUGAUUAGUCUAUCUAGACUGGCUUGAGGGCUUUAAGCUCUUAGCCUUCUUUUUUAAUUGCUCGGUUUAUAACCAGGAUUUGUUGAGAGGUUACCUAAACAUCCUCCUCAAGCAUGACAUGUUUGCCCACUCGUCUAAAUAGGUCAUUCAUUGUAGUGGGCAACUUUUUGGCCAUGGACUUGAAGAAUUGAGUGCUUGGACUGAUGAUCCAUUUGAAGAUCUGCAGGAUAGCAUCCAUGUUGUAAGAUUCCAUCUAGAACACCGCUUGUCUGAAUCACUUCAUGAAGUCCCUUAGCGAUUCAUUCUCCUACAUCUGAAUGUUCUAUAAGGUGCUUAUAUUCUGCUUUUGGCGAGCAAAACAUAAAUAAUGGCCCACAAAGGCCUCUAAAACAUCUGUCAUCUGUUGUUGGAAGUGCAUCAGGUGAACAAAAGAGUCACCAUCCCAUAGUAAAUAGUAAAUUUGGGCACCGGAAACCCCUGGGCAGCUCAUAACUAAUGAUAUGUGGGUCAAACGACAUGAAGAGCAUGUCAUCCAAUCAUCUACUUAUGGAGUCAAGAGGGGCUUUUGUCAAUGGGUUAUUUGUCGAUUGUAGUUCUAGUAUUGAACAUUAAGGCAGACGGCUUGGUGAUGCCUCAUCGUUUGAUUGGCCUAAUUGUGCUUUCAAGGCCUCCAAUAUGCAUGGCGAUGCUAGUGUUCUUCUCUCCUGAUACCCAAGAUAGGCUUUCAGGGCAUCUGAGAGACGUAAGCCCCAUUCUUAACCCAUUUUCCAUUUUUCUCCAAUAGAGCUUGCAACCUCUUUCGCUUGAGUUCGAUCGACUACUGAAUGCACUAGUUCAAGUAAUGUUAGCGAACUGCUAGUAGACAAUCCCUCAUCCACUGUUUGUAGAGACGACUUAGUGUAUCAUUGAAGAACUUUCAUUGUUUGGCUUCAAACUACUCUUGAAGUCGUCUAUUGGUUGGAGGUACGAUGACUUUUUUAUCAGCACCCCAUAGCCACUUGUGCUCGUAGCUCUUGGUUCUCUUGCUGUAGUUGUUCUGCCUGUUGGACAGGGACUACAUAGGUUAUUCAUAUUCUUCUUGCUUUUUUUCUAUCUUUCCUUGCCAAGCUUGGAAUCGCUCGUCAACAUUUGCAGAAUGAGUUGCAGGAGGCGUGUUAACCAUCGUGUUUUUUAGGCAUUUGUGGUUGAUUCCCAUAGACAAUGCCAAUGUUGGUGCACGACCAGUAAAAAAAGGUGUUUGGCUAGUCUCCAUGUAACAUAGAUGACGAUUGCACCUGCACAAAGGAAUGUCUGAAUGGGUUUUUCAGGUACACCUUUCCAAAGCUUAGGUCAGAAAUGGAAGACUUAAGCAAGAGUUUUUGUGGAAAAAUUGGUAGCAUACUUUUCUUGUGGUUAAGAAUAACUAUUUAUCUUUGUCCAACUAUAAUAUCUUCUCAGAUGCCUUAAUUGAGCCUUUGAUUGUGCAUUAUCAUCUUUAAUGUCAAUGAUAGCCAACCCAUAAUGGUUGUUGUGUCUUGAUGAACCUUAAAGGUUGGCGUUUUAACCUCAUAAUGAUUGCAUCCAUCAAUGCGUUAAUGCACUAAUUGCCUAUUGCAAUUAAUGCUUGUUGGGCAAGAAUGCAUAGUGCCCGAUUAGAUUGUGUUUGUUUGGUACCCUAAGAGUACCCUGGGGUGGACAAAAAAGCCACAUGGCUCUUGUUCUAACAUGUCUCGACUAGACAGUGUUUGAGGAUCAUGUUAGAUGGUGAUGAGCAUCCCACAGUGAAGACGUAUGAUGAAAGCAAAGGUAGGGCUUCUAAACCAAACGCUUUUAGGGAUUUUUUUUUUUUUUUCAACAAAGUUGACCUCUUCAAGGAAAAAAAAAAAGGUUAAAAAAACUAUUGCUUUUUUGGAUCCAAAUCACCAUUUCCAAUGUGAUAUUUGGAUUUCCACCAUGUAUUUUUUUUUUUUUUAACAGUCAAGGACAUUUUAUGGAUUAUUGAAAGAUAAUAUCUUUCAACUUAAUUUCCUACAUUAAUUAAGUCUUAGGCUCAAAUGUGAAACUUAAGUGGUUGUUAGGCCAUCAAACCCAUCUGCCCUAAAGUAUAAUUUCCCAUUUUCAAAAUAUAUAGUUGUUAAACAUCUAUCCCAAACUAUUGUAACCCUUUGAAGUGCUUGGUAUGUUAACCUUGUUUCCUUUUCCUUAUGCAACAUGGCUAAUUGAUUGUUGCAUUGAAUCAUUAUCAUUCACCAAAUCCAUUCAACUAUGGACUUACCUUUCAAAUCCCUCUAACAAAAAUGGUAAUUCCAAAACAACUCAAGUCUAAUGUUCUCAACUCUUUCAAAUGAUUUAAUUAAUUGGUGUUUGAAUAUACCUCUUAUAUUUUUUUAGAGCAAUUUUUAGGCACAUAACAUAAAUUUCUAAUUUUUUUUUAGAAAAGGUUUUAUAUUUUAUAUUUUAUAUUACAACUUCCCCUUUUUUUUCCAUCUAAAAAACAAAACAUAAAACCUUAAUAACCGAGUUUUGUCACAAACCCUUAACAAAUAAUCUAUUUUCCAAAAAUUACUUUAACAUCUUUAAACAUAUUGAUUUAGUAUACUUUACUUUUAAUAUUUUUUGAAAAAUAUUUUUAUUUUAUAUGAUUAUUAAUUAAUUAAGAUUGAUUGGGUAUGGUAGAAUAUAUAUUCCAAAAUACAUCGUAUUGAGAACAAUAUCACAAGAUAUUAUAUCCAUAUCUUAACAUAUUAUAUACUUUUAUUUUGUGCAAUUAGCAAUUGGACGGAAGGUAGGGAGCCGGCUUAAUGGAAAUGUCGCAUCUCACGUGUGUCCCUUCCCUUACCAAGUCUCAACAAAGGAUGAAAAUAUCGGUAAUCACGGAUAUAUCGGUACUUCGAUUUUACGGAUAUAUUAGAUAUAUCAGAGAUAUAUUGACGGAUAUUUUGGAAAAAAAUAUCGAUAAGCCUAAAAUUGAUCAAAAUUUAUAAAAAUAUAAAAAAAACUUCAUAAAAAUGUAAUUAAAAGAAGGUCGUAUAAGUUACUCAUGUUGAUCAUGUGAUAUAUCACGAGAUAUAAUCGAUUUUUGGGAAUUUCUCACGAAAAUAUCGCGACAUUUCUUCCUUGUCUCGACUGCUCCAAGAUUUCCUAUACGCCCUUCUUCGCUUAGCUCUUAAGUCUUUUCUUCUCCUCUUCCUCAAACCCAUCACAUUUCGCCGCGUGGAGCUAAGUCUCAAGGUCCUUUUGUUCGUACGAUGUAUGUUCCCCCAAUUCCUCAUCUACCUUGAAACUCCAUACUCGCCAUCUACUCAACCACUUCUCUACUCUAGAGUCUGGAUGCUUUAUCUCCGCGAGUGUCGAUGGCUCUUCACCCCAGCGAGUAUGGAAUUACAAGGGCAAUAUCGUCAUUAAAGACACAACAGGCAAACCAAUGGCAUUGUCUUCCUUUUGGUCUAUUUUAUUUAUGCUGUAAGUAUUCGUGCUUGACUUCUCCCGCGUCUCUUAUAAAAACUAAAGAAAACCACUCCAACAGAGCACACUUCAAGAAUCUUCUUUUUUUUUUUCUUUCCUCUUUCUCUUUACAUAUAUACUGAGAAAGCCCAGCUCAUCCCUCAAUUCCCAGAUGGGUUUUAUGAAUGUUCUCAAGUUCUCAGCUGCAUGCUUUGAUAUUCUUGCCUGGUAUGUUGUCCACGCAUUUUCUCGCCAUUGGAAAUUUUUGGAAAAUGAAGUGGAAUUCUCUGUUUGAGGACAAACAUGGGAUUUUCUUUGAUUUCUCCCUGUUGGUUUUAUCUAUAUUCUUUGGAUUACCCACAUUCUUGUCAUUGAUUGUUAGUCAUUUGUUUGGAUUUCUACUUGCAGGCCUCUAUUUGCACUGGGUUAUCCUCUGUAAGUCUUGGUCUUACACCUCAAGAUAUGAUGAUUCAUUUACUCUUUUCUUGUUCUACGAAUAGUUCAGUUACAUUUAUUGUGUUGGGAAACUGAAAAGGGAAAGGAUUAUUCUUUAUUAUCGUAAUAAUCAUCAACAUCAUCUCGGUUCUUCACAGAUGUUCUUCAAUUCGGGCAAUUGAGACUAACUCAAUCUCAGACUUUCGGAAGUUGGUGGCGUAUUGGGUUCUAUUUUCCUUGAUUUCACUCUUUGAUCAUGCUUUUUCCAAGCUCCUUGAAUGGUAAUUUUGCUCAACUGCGUUCCACUAUAUGUGACUCUGUUUGUUUCAUUUCUUUGCCCUUAAGGAAUUUGGAGUUGCUUUUUUCAGUUUUCUUUCCUAUGAAAAUAAUCGAGAUGUUUAAUGUUCCAGGCCUCCAUGUAUUUUAUAUUCCUUCAUUUCUCUGCUUUGACAAAUGCUCACAAUCUGAUCAGCAGAAAGGUUAUAACAUUUGAAAAAGAAGUGGUUUAUUUUUGUUUUUUUUAAGUACAAUAAUUUUCGUUUGGAUAAAUGGUCUGAAGGGUGUUUGUGUUUGGCUGAGUUCAUGGAAUUUUCAAGCUAAUUUGGGAUUUAUUCUCAAUUUCAAGAUCAUUGUGGAUAUGUCAGAAAUUAAUGAAAUAUAAAUGGUGGAAUGUGAUUUUCUUGUUUAAGAAAAGUUUUUCUUUGAAAAUGCGGGUGCACCAGACCUACCUUAUUGNNNNNNNNNNNNNNNNNNNNNNNNNNNNNNNNNNNNNNNNNNNNNNNNNNNAUCAGAUUCAACUGUGAUAGCCCGGAAUUUAAUUCAGUAUUCGACUCUUCUGGGAACAUGUUGGUUAUGGUUUCUCUCUCACUGUCCUCUUCUUUACACAUGACUUUUCAGUUGAGGAGCACAAAGCCUAAUGUUGAAGUGAAAGAGAUCAAAGCACCUGCAGCACCGGAGAAAAAAGGGGAACAGGUAAGUACUCUAAUGUGGCUAUUUAAUUUCUAUGGAGGCAGAUCCCCAGAGAAAUGCUGUUCAUGUAAAUUACUGAUGCAUUUGAUUCAAUGGCCACGGUUUUAAAAGAAAAACCACUUUAUGUAUGUUUCUGUGAAUGAGAGAACAAGUUUAUGGAUUAAAUGAUAUUUUUUAUGGUGAAAUAAUCAAUAAUUUUCAAAAUAAUAAUACAUUCCUGCAUGUUUUUGCAAUUCAUGAAUUCCUUUUAUGAUUGAUUCUUCUCACCUUUUUUCUCACCUCAGUGGAAGUGUGAAGAGCCUAAUGUUGCUCAAAAAGAGAUCCAAGUAGUCAAAGUAACAGAGAUAAAAAAUGGGGGGGAUGGAGCAAAGAGGGUAAGUUUUGCUUUUUAUUUAUAAAGUAGGCUGUCUUCACACAAGGAUUAUUAUUAUUAUUAUUGUUAUUAUUUUAAGACAUGAAUGUUGAAUGAUUUUGGAAUUGUCCUUGAAUCAUGUGAAGUGUGAAUGGUCUAAUGCUGCUAAGGAGGAGGUCAAAGUGACAGAAGUAACACAGAGAACAUUUGGUGGUACAGCACAGUGGGUAAGGUUUCAUGUCAUAUUUAAAUGGCUCCUCAUAUUUCACUAGGAUUAAUUUUGCCCCUACAAACUAUUUGGCUACAAGUUAAGACAGAGUUCCAGAUGCUGAUAAAGCUGAGACAUAAGUAAUGAACGAAUUUAGACACAUGCACAACUCUUGUGUGAAACACAAUGAGAGUGGAAAAUAGCUAAGUUGAAAAAUGGCCAAAUACUAUUUUGUAGUUCCCCCUACCACUUAAGUAAUUUUUGUCAUCCUUUGUGAAUGGAAAAUGCAGUCCCUUCAGUAAUUCCAUUAUAUUCAUGACUUGGUGAAGCAUAUAACCAUUAGUGUCUUACCCUAAGUCGACCUUUAAUGAUGAUCCAUUGAGAUGGGUCUGACUUUUGUCAACCCUCUUAUUCCCUUGAUCAUAGAGGUGAAACUUAGGGGGCUUAACCCACUUUUCAAUCUUAUUGGAUAUAUGGCACGUGGUAUCCUCUUCAUCUUGAAAGAGUGAAGUGGUCAUACUCUUUCCUCUGAGUCCAUUGUGGCCAUGCACUUCAGGCUCAUUGGGCUGAGUGAAAGGAUUCCCUUCUGCUUCAAAUCAUAGAGAGAUAUGCCAUGGUCAGCCUCUUUAAUUCAAGGGAUUGAAGUACUCAAAUCCAUUUCUCUGUAUCCAUCUUAGUUCUGCAUUCAUGUCUCAUGGUUAACCAAGAAGAUCCAGCCUCCAUCCAUGAGAUCAGCAUCUGCAGGUUUAUGACACCACCCUUCCUUUGCAUAGGAAAGGGAUCAUUAAGCCAUGUGUCGGAUGACAGAAGUCAUCAUUCAGGUUAUCUUGAGAACUAAGGAAGUUGGAAUUCUAAUUAUUGCAUAUGGUUCUUGAUGUUUAGCCAAUAUACUAUAGGAUUUUAAGCAUCAUGCUCACGUGCAUUGUGGUUGCUUAUCAGCUAUAUGGUUUGCCAAAAUGAGGGACUGAUUAUGGUCAUAAGUACCUUUUUCCCAUUAAUUUCUUGCAUGUGCUCUGCUGAGAUUAUGUUUUUGACAGUCCAAAUCAGGGCAAACCAACAAACAGCUUUAUGUUAACUUUUACAAACUGCCAUAUUUUCAGGUUAAACAAACAGAGAUAAAUCUUGGUGAAACUAGAAGUAAUACAACCUGUGCUGUGGAGAUAAAAGAAAGGGCAGCAGCACUGGUGGCUGCAGAAAUUGAGGCAUGUAGAGACGAUAGAACCCCCAAGAUACCUCUUCAUGAGAAAGUCCAGAAAGAGUGGGCUUGUGCUGUGUGCCAGUUCACAACCCAAACUGAAGCGACCUUCAAUUCCCACCUUCAAGGGAAGAGACAUCAGGCCAUUUCUGAGCAGCUGAGAGCCAAAAAUCAGGCAACCAAAACCAAUUGUUCCCCAUCUGCUUCAAUGGCCAAGAAAUCUGAUCAGUCCACCAAAGAGGAGCAACCGAAGUGUACUUCCAAUCUGAAUUCCAAAAACAAUGGAAUCUCAGCUGCUUCAACAGUGAAGAAACUUGAUGAGACCAAAGAUGAUGAGCAACAAAAGUCUGCAUCUAGCAAUGGACCGAACCAGAAGAAUAACAAAAAGCAAGAGGUACAGACCAAUGAGCAAGGCCGUCAGAAGAACUUAAGGCAAACUGGUGAUGGAAUGAAAGAGUUGAGAUCAUGGUGCAAUAUCUGUAAUGUAAGCUGCACAAGGGAGCUUGACCUGGCCUCGCAUCUCAAUGGAAGGAGGCACUUUGAUAGGAUAAAGCAGCUGUCUGAAUUAUGGUGCAGUAACUGCAAUGUAAGGUGCAACAGUGAGGUUGAUAUGGCCUCUCACCGAAAUGGGAGGAGGCACUUGGAGCAGCUGAAGGAACGGUUAGGAUUAUGGUGCAGUAUCUGUAGUGUGAGUUGCAACAGCAAGGUGGACAUGGAUUCUCACCUAAAUGGGAAGAUUCACUUGGAUCAGAUCAAGGACCAGUUAAGAUUAUGGUGUGGGGCAUGUAAUACAACCUGCAAGAGUGAGCGCAACAUGGCCUUUCAUCUGAAUGGGAGGAAGCACUUAGAGAAGAAGGGGAAUACCUGAUUUGCAUGUUUCUUCAGAUUAUUGAUACUUACAAAUGGUUUUAGUUAGAAGCAUACAGGCCAGUGGGUGGUGGUCACAGAUGCCUCUAUUUUGUUGUAUGAAGUAAAAACAGUAUUUCCAUGUCCAGAAAUCAACCACUUGUUUAGUGCAUGCAUGGCUGGUUCAAAAUUAAACCUAAUUGUGAAUGACUAGGAGCAGGGAGGGAAAAAUUGAAGGGAAGAAUGUAAGAUUAUGGCUUCAUUUUUAUUUUUUCCUCUUCUGAAAAUUGUAAGAUUGUGUUAGGAGGAGCUGGAAUGGGUUCAAAUCAGGAAUUAAGACCCAGUUCCAAGACAUGGAAAGUGUCUUUAGAUUAUGUUAAGUUAUUUCCAUUUUUUUUUCUUUUCUAUUUUUUUUCUUUAUUUAUUGUAAGAGGGAGCAUAAAUGAAUUUUUAUUUUUUAUUUUUUUUUUCAGAAUAAAGAUGAAUUUGAUAAUUUCAAUUAUUGCGUUUGGAUGUAUUUCGGAACGUAAGAUUGAAAUAAUUAUUUGUUUU
rnacentral:lncRNA from 1 species